CCUUUUUCUCACGGUCCAUCCCUAGAUUUCGAAUUUCAAUUCAAUUACCUUACAAAUGAUAACGAACGCAUGCAUAAAUAAAGAAACCCAAACUUGGCGUAUACUCUAGGGUAGUGGACAAAUGAAUCAUGAUAGUGUUAAGGGACAAAAAAUUCAGAAAUGAUGACUAGAGUGUUAUUUUAGAUUUGGCAAAAUACACAUUCACACCCGUACAUCACACAUGAGCUGGACCCCAUUAUUUCCAACUCAAAACCAUAGGAAAAUUAGGCCAUUACUCAACACACACACAUGCUACACCUAAUAAUCAUAAUAACAUUACACAUUUACAUACAAAUUACAAAAUACAACACUUGAAAUUUUGAAGAAAACAAGGAAAAAGAAAAGGAUGAUGAUGAAAUGAAGCCCACAAACAUGUCUUGAUUGAUCACGAACCGUUUGAUUCGAUUACUUAGACUUGAAGGGAAUGGCUCUGAUUACAACCACGUGGUAGAGUGCUGCAAGAGCUGCUCCAAUAAAUGGUCCCACCCAGAAGAUCCACUGCAAGAAUAAUAAUAAUUAAUGAACACACAAGACAAAUGAGAUAGAAAAUUCAGAAAAACAAAUAUAUAAUUUUACAAAAACAAUUUUUCAACUUACGUGAUCAUCCCAACCAAGGUCCUUGUUGAAGAUAAUAGCAGCACCAAGACUACGAGCAGGGUUAAUACCAGUUCCAGUAAUUGGGAUAGUGGCCAAGUGAACCAAGAACACAGCGAACCCAAUUGGCAAUGGUGCCAAAAUCUACUCAUAAAAUAAGUCACACAAAUAAUAAUAAGUUAUGAUUUUAAUUUCUAUAUAGUUAUUAAGUGUAUAUGAUUAAAGUCAAAUGUUUAUAAUAAUUCGACGGUUAUGAUUGAUUGACAACGUAAAAAAAACUUACGGGAACAUGAGAGUCUCUAGCGCUACGUUUAGCAUCGGUGGCUGAGAAGACGGUGUAAACAAGAAUGAAAGUGCCAACAAUUUCAGCACCAAGACCAUCACCUUUGGUGUAACCAGGAGCAACAAAGUUGGCACCACCUUUCAGAUCUCCAAAUCUUGUCUUUCCUUCAAAACCUUUCACAACACCAGCACCACAAAUAGCACCCAAACAUUGCAUCACCAUGUAGAACAAUGCUCUUGUCAAUGACAAUUUCCUUGCCAAAAAUAGCCCAAAUGUGACUGCUGGAUUUAUGUGACCACCUGCAUCACACAGAGUACAUAAUUUUAGAUCAAAACCAAACUAACAUUAGAUAGAUACAUUUAAUUACUUUUGUUUUAUCAAAUUAUUUAUUUUUGUUGUAAUAUUUUAUCAAAAUUAUUAUGAAUAUGUCCUUAUCAUGGUAGUUGUUACUUGUCAGUGUCACUAGCACAUAGUUUAUGUUAUUCUUUUAAUUUAACUUUAGGUGAGCUUAUCUUAACUACACAAAAAACUGCUAAUAUAUUAAAGUUAAAUAUGAUUUUAAUCUCUAUAAAAUUACACUUUCUUAAAUUUCAUUCAAACUGGUCCAUAGGAACAACUAAUUUAGACCUAUAACAGAAAAAUAGAAAUAAAAAUUGAACAAAAUUUAUGAAUAAACUAACCUUAAAAAUAUUAUAAGUACUAAAAACAGAAAAUAUUAUAUUCUAUACCUGAGAUUCCAGCAGUACAGUAAACAAGAGCAAAGAUCAUGCCACCAAAAGCCCAAGCAAUUCCUUGAAUACCCACAGUCUUACACUUAGAAUCAGCUCUAACAACACCCAUAACAGUCAAAACAGUGAUAUAAAGAAAAAGGAAAGUAGCAACGAACUCAGCUAUCCCAGCUCUGUAGAAAGACCAUGAAGUGAGUUCAGAUGGCUCAAACAAAGGUGCUGGUGGUGGCUCUUGAUAGUCCUUAGGGUCAUCUUGGCUUUGAGCUGCUAUCCCAAGUGGUUGUCUUUCUGGGAAUUUGUUGGCUCCUAGAGACACAUCCUGUUCUUUAGCUUCCAUUUUUGUUCUUAGGUUUGGGGUUUUGGAUUGUGUACUUGUGUUUUGUUUGUUGUGUGAGUGAAGAGAUAAGAAGCGGAUUUAUAAGAGGAAUUGAUUUGAGUUAAUGGAAGUGUGUGGGUCCUACGAUGUGUUUUUUUAAUGAUUUUGUUGAUAGGAGGGACCAGUUGUGAAGGGUUUGUCCUAGCUGGCGGGAUUCUAACCACUUAUGGUAAGACCCACCAUGUUCCGCGCAGUACUGGAACGGGGAUUACUUUGCUGUUCCAAGAGAAAUAGUUUUCCUUCUAAUAUUUCAAAAUGUUUGAUGAAAAUGAUAUUAACCCAAAUGAAGGAAGUAAUAAGUGAUGAAAAUGAUUUUCCUUCUAAUAUUUAUGUAUGAAACAAAUACAUAAAUUCUGGUCCAAUUUCCACGUGUAUUUCAAGGGAGUUAAUUAUGUUGGGCGGUGGACAUUGUCAAAGUGGCUUACGUCUCUGAAUUGACACGUGUUGCUAGAAAUUGUUGUGUAAUUAUGCAUUGCAUUUAACAGUCGAUUUCGUGAAUUAUAAAUGAGCACACAAUAAUCCUUUUUUUUUUCUUAUUGUAGGCGGCUACCAUUACUGUGAUGUGACGAAAGCGAUCACUUGGUUUUGUUUGUUUAUAAAUGGGAUGAAUCAAAGUAGAUUUAUAUAUUAUUAUGAUCAUGAUUUUCAUGUUAAUAACACCAAAAAUCACUUGUAAAUUUAAAAUACCUUGCUUGAAUUACAAUUUAUUGAAACUAAUAGUUAAUGAUAUCUACAAAAGACAAUUUUUUUAAGUGGUUAAUCAACUUUUACAAGGGCGAAUUGUUUAGGAAAAAUUGACUCCAGUCCAAACAAAUAAUUUUAUAAAAAAAACUUGAAGAGAGAAAACAAUCCCAUAAUUUUUGAAGAAAAAAAUACGAUUCCAUAAUUUGGCUGAUGAUUUACAUUAAUAAUCUGAGCAAUGAUAUAGAUGUGGUUUUCUGAAUGUUUUUUUUUUUUGGAGAAUUAUGAAUGUUGUUUGUAAGCUUUAUAAGCAGAUUGAUGUUGUAAUUUAAAAAUGAUUAAUGUUGCAACUUAUUGUUCGUUUAUAUGUAAUUCUCCAAUUCAUAAUAUAUAAAAUAUAUUUUGUAAAUUUGUACGUAAAAAACAUGGUUGGCACAAGGCUGUCAAAAAUUAACUAAUCUCAAAUAAUAGUAUUUGCUAAUUAUCAAGUAGAAUUGUUCAUUUCCUGAAAGAGAGAAAAAAAAUAGAAUUAUUCAUAUUUUUCUCAUCACGAGGAUAGUAGCCUUUUGGUAUUUUUGUUUUGUUUUUAUCAUCAUGGAUGAGACAAUGAUUAAGUCUAAUUAAAACAGCCUUAAAAAUCUUGAAGUACUAGCUUAACUGGUAAAAUGACGAAAUUGUUAGAUCGAAUGUCAUGAUUGGGGUUCGGACCCCGAUACCUUCACUUGUGUGUGUGAGUUUAUAAUGACUUUGUCAUUUCGUAGAUCUACCAAAAAAAAUACACCCUUAAAAAAAGCUUAAUUAAAUACAAUUGAGAUACCAUCACUGCAUACAAACAAUAGCAGCUUUCGUUUUCGCAGUUGGAUUAUAAAAGCUUUAUCUUUGGGCAAUAGAUAAAUAAGUUGUUAUCCCAAAAGCACAUGAAACAAUUUAAAUAUUCUUGGUGCAUUAUUAUACUAAUCGUAUUAUACCUAAUGCACAUUUGUUUAGUAUCUUGAUUAGUCUAGAUGACUUGUCUAGAUAACAUUGAUUAAUAAAAUCAAAUGGUUCUUUAUAAUUUUAAUCAAUUAAUUGUGAGCCAAAAUUUUUGGUAUCUUUUGCAAUAUUUCAUCAUCAUUCUACUCUGGCAGAAAGCAAUAGGUUAGAGAGGAACACUCCAGGAAGAUUUUGGGUGGCAGGCCCCCCUCAUAUAUCCUUUAUGUCUUUUCUGUUAUUUGAUUUGAAAACUUAAACUAGAAACAUUUACAAAAAUAGCUAAGCAGCUCAGAUCACAAAUUGGUAAUUCGCAUCAUGCUUUCCGUUUAAGUGUGGUGAUUACAGUUCCACUCUGAUAGUUUGACAAAUUACUGUUUUCCAUAGUAAAAUGAUGCCUUUGAGAUUUAAACAUGUUAUUAACGCUAACAACUACUUUAAAAACCCUUGUUAAAGAAGUAAUUAUGGCAUGAGUACUGAUAUUUGAACAACUAUUUUUUACAACUAUUAUAACAACUUCUUUUUCCUCUCUUUCUAUUGGUCAAAAACAAGGGAGAGAAAAAGGAAGAGGAAGAAUAAAAACAUAGUAUGAGUAUGAAAGAGAGAGUUGUCAAGAAAUUAUCGUAAAAUGGUUGUGCAAAUAUCAUUUUUCUUAUAGCAGUACGGUACUAUUAGCACAUAUAGUCUAGUGGUUUGGCCGAAAUCAACAGGAGAUAAUCCUUUUCCAUCAUAUCAACUUCUUGUUCACACAAUCUCUAACAUUCACUCUCUAACUAGGUGGAAGUCGUGUGGGUUCACACUUAAGAAAUAUAUUUCACAUAAACGAUGAAAUCUUGAGUUUCUCUCGCUAAAAAAAUGACUAUUAAAGAGUAUGUUCCUAACAUUUUUUAUUGAUUGAAAUUUGAUGAUUAGACACCAAAGUAAAAGAAAAGAUAAGAGUUGUUUUUAGAUGGUCAAUAUUCGUAUUUUAUUUGUUUCAUUUGAAUGAAUAAGUGUAAGAAAUUGUUUAUAUAUGAGAAAUUGUGGCUCUUCUUCAUGCAUAUGUAAUAUGUAUAAUACUGAAUAAUGAUGAUAUAUUCUCGAAAAACGGCUAUGUGGUCUCUUUCAAUUUGAGGAAGCAUACCACAUAUUUGAUUAGUUGUGUGGGUAUAAAACUUUACGAGGUGAACAAAUGAAGUUUUUUCAGAGGAGAAACAAAUGAUCUAGCUGAAUGAUUAUUUUCGGUAGUAAAUAAAUAAAUAAAAACUAUGCAAAGUGCCAAACUGGGCGGUUAUUUUUCUCCAGAUUAUAAUAUAUCGUUCUUGAACAACUAGUGACCCAACACCAAAUGUUAUAUUUUUGUCAUAAAACACUAAAUGUUAAAUUAUACUACGUCAAUUAUUAGUCAUAUAUAAAUUAGUCAAAUGAAACCGUCUAUGCAAUUAGGGCCACAGGUUUUUUUUUCCUUCAUAAAUCAAGCCACACUAUCCUAUGUCAUGCGAUAACUUAUAAAAUGCCCUAAUUCGCCUCCAAUAUUUCACAGAAUUUCUUUGGAAGUAAGCAAAAGUUGCUUAUGAAUUUGCAAGUACAUACAUGGUUCUGUUACUAUACUAUAUAUCUGUAUAAGGGAACUAUAUUUUAUUUCCUUACCUUGCCUUCAUCAACCAAUUACUGUGUAAAAGAAGGAAGAGAUUAGGCUGUAUCGGUUUAAUUUUUCAAGGAUUAUGUUAAAAUAUAUUCUUAUUUUCCUAUGGAACUAAACUGGACUUCAAAUAUUUUUCAAAGAAUAAAACGAGUCUUCACUCAAAUAUAAACUAUAGAUAUUGUAUUUAUAGUUGUUUUUGUUUGCGUUAUUUUUCAUUUAGAGGAUGGUGGAGAUAGAGAGUGAGAAAGAGAUUGUUAUGGUGUGAGAAUGAGAGUUAUGUUUAUUCUCCUAUACUUUUGAUGUUGGAAAUUAUAAACACACAUAUAUGUAGAUGUCAUUUCCCUCUUUCUUUAUUAACUUCUUUUUAAUCGAAGAAAUGAUAAUAUACAUUGAAAAUCAUGUACAUAAAGGGAUGAGUUAGGUCUCUAACUCUAACCACGAUGUUUCAUAUAACAACUUUUGACAUUUUUUUAUAGGUGAGUUAGGACUUAUGAAUUGUUUGUUACUAUUUCUUUUUUUAAAAUAUGAUUAGAAAUAAUCAAUAAAAUAUCGAAAAAUAAAGAAAUUAAAAUAGAACCGCUAAGGCUCUGUUUGGUAAAAAUAGCGGAUAGCUGAUAAGUUAGCUGAUAGCUUUUAGCUGAUAAACUAACUGAAGUGUUUGGUAAAAAUAGCGGUUCAACUAGCUGAUAAAUGUAAAAUGACAUAAAGGUUAUUCUUAAUUCAUAAUAAAAAUUAUAUCAUUAAUUUAAGUAUUUGUAAUUUUGUGAACUAAUUUUUCUUUAAAAAAAUACUUUAAAUUUAUUAAUUUAAUAUAUCCUAUGUAUUAUAAAUUAAAUUAAAUUUUAUUCACUAAAAUUUUAUCUUAUAUUUAUUAUCAUUUAAGUGUUUCCACUUUAUAAAGAAAAUAACAUUUACCUCAAAAACAAAAAAAAAAGUUAGCACUAAUAGAGUAAUACUAAUAACAGAAAAUAAAGAAAAUAACACUUACCUCAAAAAAAAAAAAAGUAACACUAAUAGAAUAAUAGUAUUUUGUUUCCUAAAAAAAAAACGAAGGUAUAUAUUUUAUCAAAAAAAAAAAAAAAGGCCAACUGAUAUAUAUACAAAAAUUGGAAUAAAGGGAUAGUAGUCUUUAUUGCGUAGCUAUUAUAAAAAUUAUAAUGGAUAAAAAUACAAUUUAAAUGAAAUAAUAAGGGUAAAAUUGGAAGAAAAAGUGAGAAGCUAUAAGCUAUAAGCUCAAACGCUACUUGGAAUAGCUUCUGAAAAAUAGCUUAUAAGCUCGUGAAAUAAGCUAUAAGCUCAUGGUGAAAAAGUGUUACCAAACAGAGUUUUUUUUGUCAAACGAGCUUAUAAGCUAAAAGCUAAAAGCUCUUUUUUGGGAUUUUCCAAACAGACCCUAAGGCUCUGUUUGGUAAAAAUAGCGGAUAGCUGAUAAGUUAGCUGAUAGCUUUUAGCUGAUAAGCUAGCUGAUAGCUUUUAGCUGAUAAGCUAGCUGAUAGCUGAUAAGCUAACUGAAGUGUUUGGUAAAAUUAGCGGUUCAACUAGCUUAUAAACGUAAAAUGACAUAAAAGGGUAUUUUUAAUUCAUUAUAAAAUUUGUAUCAAUUGAUAUUUAAAAUAUUUAAAAUUUCAUAGUUUAAAUAUAUUAAUCUAAUAUGUCUUUCAUAUGUUAUUUUUAAAUUCAUAAAUUGGCUAAUGUUUUAUUUAAAAUUGAUUUUAUUUCAAUUUUUAGACCUUAUAAAAAAAUUAAACAAAACCUUUAAAAAAAAUUAAUUGUUACCCACUAAAACAAAAUUAAACGUAAUUGAUCCAAAAUCAAACAAAAUUUUGUUUUUAGACUUAAAAACAAAAUUAAACGUAUUAACCCAAAAUCAAACAAAAUUUUGUUUUUAGACUUAAAAACAAAAUUAAACAUAACGUAAUAUGAUUUAUUAAGGCAAACGUAACAUAUAUUUUUUUAAGAAAAAAUGUAGUUUUUAUUUUUGUAAACAUGAGCAUAUAUUUUGUAAAAAUAAAUAAAAGCGUGAGCAUAUAUAUUUAGUUAAAGUGAAACCUGGGAUUAAAAGUGUUAUGUUUUUCUUCAACGUAGUUAUUUAUUACAAAGGGUAGAUAUGAAUUUUUGUUAUAUUGAUAAGGGUAAAAAUGAGACAAAAAAUGAGAAGUUAUAAGCUAUAAGCUCAAACGCUACUUGGAAUAGCUUCUGAAAAAUAGCUUAUAAGCUCGUGAAAUAAGCUAUAAGCUCAUGGUCAAAAAGUGUUACCAAACAGAGCUUUUUUUUAUGAAACGAGCUUAUAAGCUAUAAGCUAAGAGCUAAAAGCUCUUUUUUUUGGUUUACCAAACAGACCUAAAUGGUCUAAAAAUAAAAGAAUAUGAAUUAUAUGCAGGAUACCUUUGACUUAUAUGGUCAAUCUGAAGAACCACUAACUAGCAUUCUAACAGGAUAGUAUAGCUAACUUUUAUAUUUAACUCCCCUGGUUAGAAUGUGUUUACUAUAUAGAAAAAUACCAACAACAUAAAAAUGUUGGAAAAAUAUCGGUAUAAAAAGAUUCUUUUUUUUUGUUACAGAAAUUUUAGAGUGAGGGGAUGGUGCCUCAGUCCAAGGCAGGGAAACAUUUACCUCCCUUCAAAGACACUAGCGGGGCUCGAAUCCAGAUUCUCUCGAAUUCAAGACGUAUCAUUUUACCACUAGACCAAGCCUUUAGAGUUGGUAUAAAAAGACUAUGAAAUGUCAUAAACACAUCGGCCAAAAAAAGGAUUAAUAAUUCAUUUUCUUUACAGCUAUAAUAAUUUAAAGGUUUAAUUAUAUAAAUGGUCUCUUAAGUAAUUAUGAAAUUUCAAUUUAGUCCCUUUAUUAAUUUUCGCCCUCAAUUUGAUCUUUUAAAUUACUUCCGUCCAUCAACUAAAUUCAUUCUGUUAAAACCAUGUGAAAAAAAGUUAACAUUCAUCUCUCCUUCAUCAUGUUCAUCAUCAAAUCCAGCAACAUUCAUCAUCUUCAUUAAUAAACCUAGAAAAAUUUAUCAUCAAAACCCAACAAAACAAAAAAACCUAAAAUUAACAAAUUUAAACCCAUAAAUUCAAACACCAAAUAACAAAUUAAAUAUUUACCAAGCUUCCUCCAACAUCAACAAAUAAAAGCUUCACCAAAAAAUAUCAAAAAAAUAUCUUCUUCGUCAUCCAAAAUUAACACAAAUUUAAAUCAAAAAAUUGUAACAAUUUCUCGUCGCCAUCAAAAUCUACCGGAAAUCAAGCUUCACCAACAACAUCAGUAAGCAAUUAAGUGGUGGGAAUUUGAAGUCAAUCAAGGAACCGUCACCCAUGAUCCCAAUAAAAGAAUCAACACUGAGAAAAUCAAAGGCAAACCAAAUUCAUCAAAACCACAACAACCCACCAACAUCAUUAUUCUUUUUUUAGAUUUCUUUCUAUUCUCUCUCACGCACAAAAAAAAUUCAAUUUGGUUUUUAUUCUUGCUCUUCUCUUGUUCAUAUAUUUUCUUUUUGACGGAUUGCUCACAGUUAUUCUUAGAAGGAGAGAUGAAUGUUAAUUUUUUUUUCACAAGAUUUAACAGAAUGGAUUUAAUUGAUGGACGGAGGUAAUUUAAAGGGCCAAUUUAGAACGAAAAUUAAUAAAAGGAUCAAAUUGAAAUUUUAUAAUUAUUUAAGGAACCAUUUAUAUAAUUAAGCCUAAUUUAAAAUAUCACUAAAGUUAAAAAUAAUGAAUUUUGCUCAAUCAUUCAUUCUUUUUAAUGGAUGGAAGCUAAAAUGCCAAUGAGACAAGCAAACAAUUUGAAUUUUGAUUAAUCAUUCGUUAUUUUUAUGAAUUGAAGCUAAGAUGUCAAUUAUGAUAAAAAAGAUUGAAUUUUAUUUAACAAUCUAUUAUCUUUAGGGAGAAGCUAAUUAGACUAAAAAGAAUAAAUUUCGAAUAGUCAUUUUUUUUUUUAGGGAAAAUUUCGAAUAGUCAUAUAUUAUCUUUAUGGAUAGAAAGGUAAAAUGUCAAUUAAACUUCAAAGAACAUUUUGCUAAACGAUCAAAUAUAUUUAUGGUUAGAAGCUAAAAUAUAUUUAUAGUUUUUUAGAUGUAUCUGACUAACAUUUCAUCUUCUCUUCAUUAUAAUGACUCACUUUAAUAGUAGCAGUUUAUUUUUCUUGUUAGUUUAUGUCUUUGUUUUAAUGAUUUAUAAAUUUUCACACUAUUAGAUUUGAGAGAAAAAAAUAAACAUUUUUAAUUUCAUUUAUGUGAAAAAUGAUUAACUCAAUAAUUUUUUUUAACUAUUUAUAGAUGUUCUUUUAACAAAAAUUUAGGAUGAGUAGAUCGUGGCCUGUCUAGUCCAAGACAGAGAAUAAUUUUAAGCUCAAAGAGUAUUUACAAAAAUAUUUACAUUUAUCCAACUUCAAAGAUACUAGUGGAACUCACACCCGGAACCUCUCUAAUUCAAGACUUGUCUUUUACCACUAGACCAAACCAUUAAAAUUCUAUAGAUGUUGUAAUAAAAUAACUUACAUGAAAGUUUUGAGAGGGCAAUUUAUUAUAGAAUAAUUAGGUUACAUGGGAUAAAGAAAAUUUCUAGUUCAAGUAUUAACCAAAAACAAAAAAUCUAGUUCAAGGAAAAAUGGGAGUGGGGUUGACGAAUUUGAGGUCAAAUAACAUUGCUCUCCUAGGUACUCAAUCUUGAAUGAGUAAGUAAAAGAAACCAAAAAGUUAUACAUGUUUGAUCAAAACUUAGACCAAAUACAAGGCUCGGGCUAGCGUGAGCGAUCAACAUAGGUCUCUCACAGUGCAAACUGAUUGGUGUCCAUUAGAUAUAUUAUUAUUAAAUGCUGCCUUCAAGAUGUUUUACUGGAAACUUUUGCAACAGUGUUUAUUAGGCAUUAAAAAUUCUAUUAAAAGUAACAGGUCAUAAAUUCUGAUAAAUCAUUUGCAAAAUUAGUGGGUUGGCACGUGUUGCAGAUAAAGACAAAAAAGUGACAGAUCAAGCAUUAAGAUGGGCUUGUUUUAUGGGUAAGGCAAUGGACUUGUUUGUUUGUUCAAAGUUAGUGGGCCUAUUCGGCAGUCGAGAAAAAACAUUAGAAGUAUGCUACCAUCACCUCCCAAAUUUGCUUAAAAGUUGAAAAGUGAUAUUUGUGAGUUAAGUGAUGUUUGGUAUUUUAAGCGGGAGUUAGCACAAGUAGACACGUAAAUGAUAUUAUCAGAUUAUCGAAUUUAAAGCUUUUCCAUUUGAUAUGUUCAGGAAUAAUCUACUAAAAAAAGAUAAAAACAUAGAUUUGUCUAUUGAUAAUACAUUUUUAAGAAAAUCGCACGUAGGCACGUGAAUGAGGACAAAAAAUCAACGAAGAUCAAUUUUAAAAGUAAGACACAUUUUAAAAGAUAGAAACAUAUAAGCGUCUAUUGAUGAAAUUUAGAAAGAAAAAAAAAUUAAACUUGAUAUUAAGAGAUUAGUAGUAAUUUAUUUUUUAUUUUUUUACAAAAGUCCGUUUGUAUAAAGCUUAAAAUUGAAAUGUAAAUAAAUCGAAGGUUACUAACUUCUAAGGUAAUUUAUUAUUGGGUUAAAUAUAUUUUUGGUCCCUAUAAAUAUGUUAACUUUUCGUUUUAGUGCCUCUAAAAUUUUCCUUCAACUUUUAGUCCCUAUAAAGUUUUCAAUCACUACUUUUGGUCCCUAUUUUUAAUUUAAUUUUUGUAUUUUUUAAUGAAAUUGUGCAGAAAUGUGUUAAAUAUUCUAAAAACAAUUCCUAAAAAAAUUAGAUUUGUUUAACAAAACACAAAUUAAAUAUGAAUUUUUAACCAUAAACAAUAUAAAAAUUCAUAUUAAAUUCAUGUUUUGUUAAAAAAUUCUUAAUUUUUUUUGGAGUCAUUCUUAUAAUAUUUUGAAUUUUUCUGAAAAAUUUUAUUAAAUAAUAUGAAUUCUACAUAUGAGUUUACUUUAAAAGAGGGACCAAAAGUGAAGAUUGAAAACUUUAUAGUGACUAAAAGUUGAAGGAAAAUUUUAGAGGGACUAAAACUUAAAGUUGACAUAUUUAUAGGGACCAAAAAUAUAUUUAACCCUUUAUUAUUUUAAAGAAAAGUCCUUAGAUGAAGGUUAUUUUUGUGGUACUUGAACUCUUAAAGAAUGAUAAAAAAUUUAGUCUUUUGUAAUUUUUACAAAAUUUAAUUACUUUUUGUCCAUGUUUAAAUUUGGUGUACGUAGUUAGGUACAUUGUUGGAUGAAAAUAAAAUCGUAAUGUUUGAUGAAAUUUAAAACAUUGUUUUGUGUUUUAUCUUUUUAAUUUUAUUUUAAUGUUGAAAACAAAACAAAAAUAUCGUAUAAGCAAAACACAACAACCGAUCCAAUCCAAAAUGCAUUUGUUUGAUUUGGUUUGGUUUGGUUCGGAUUUUAUUUUUAAAGUCAACCGAACCAAAUCAAACCGCAUACUUUUUCAGCUUACGGUUCGGAUGAAUUUUAGCCUCAAAAUCGAACCAAACCGCACUGCAAAUACCCAUACGUUUGACAUUUUAUGCGGGAGUUAACGCACUUAGGAACGUGAAUGAGUAAAACCAAAUAGGAGGAGAUUAAUUUAAAAAAUAAGAUAGGUUAAAACCAAAUGGGUUGAUAAUAUCGGAUUAGAAGAAAAAAAAUCCACUUGUUAACGAGAUCAUUAACCUAUUAAAAAUAAGAUACAUACAUAGAAUUGUCUAUUGAUGUAUUUUUAUAUAAUGAGUAAUAUUUUUUUAUUAAAGCUUAAAAUUGAAACGUAAAUGUAUUGUCAUCAAUAAAUGAACUAAGUUAGUUUUUUAUUUUUAAGAAAAAUCCUAAGAAGAAGGUUUUUUGAUUUUGUAUAUCGCAAUUAUGAACAUUUUUGUUUAUUAAGGUAAUAAUGAACCUUUUUUUAAAAUUUUAAAUAAAAAACAAUAGUAACAUUGGUAAUGUCAAUCUCCGUGAGCUUAGUUCAGUUGGUAGAGAUAUUGCAUAUUAUAUGCAGGGGUCGGGGUUCGAACCCUGACACUCCACUUCUCCACAAUUUAAUUGUGUGAGUUUUAGCCACUAGACUACUUGACAAAAAAAAAAAAAAAAACAUUGGUAAUGUCAAUGGGAGAUCAAAUAUGUGUGUUAAACCUGCUUCAAUUUUGCUUUCAGAAAAAUAAACUUUAUUAAGUCCUUUAUCAAAAUACAUUUUUGGUUUUAUUAAGUCCUUUAUUAAUUACAUACAAUGGCAUUGAGAAUGCAAAUGCAACAAAGCGAUUUCGGAAAGGAUUCAUAAGAAGAAUAUGAUGUAAGCGGGGGCCCACAUCUUCUUCUUUUCGUACAUCUCAUUGAUCCAAUUGUUGUUUUCUAACCCAAACUUUUGAACCAUCUCAGACCACAGAUCUUCAAAUUUGUUAAUCUCAAUGUCAGUCAGCAUGCAUUUUUUCAGAUAAGACAUAAAAUCAGGAAUCCCAAUGUUGGUGCAAGCAUUCCUUAACAGAUGCCAAGCACACAACCUGUGGUGCGCUGCAGGAAAAACCUUUUUAAUGGCAUUUUUCAUUGCAAGGUCUCCAUCUGUUAUAACUGACAAAGGAGGUUUACCGUUCAUUGCACUCAAAAAUUGUUCCAACAACCAUACAAAUGUGUCUUCGGUCUCCCGCGUUACUAUACCAGUCGCAAAAACAAUGGUCUGAUUAUGGUGAUUAACACCUGAGAACACAACAAACGGACAAUUGUACUUGUUCUUCCGAUAAGUUGCAUCGAAGGCCAAAACAUCUCCAAAUAUCUCAUAAUUCAUACGACUUUCACCGUCACACCAGAACAGACGCUCAAGGCUCCUAUCAUCAUCAAUACAACUUUUCACAAACAUAAGAGGAUCGUUUGUGCAAAGAUCUCGAAGAUAGUUAACUGCACCAGAAGCAUCAGAAAACAAUGAUUUGCGUUGCCUCGCAACCUAGUUGUACAAAACCUUUUUAACAAAUCCUACCUUAUGAAAAUUCCCGGAAGCAUUUGCCAAAGACCCAUACAUUUGGUAAGGUCGUAUCCCUGCUUCUCGAUUACGAUCAAUUUCAGCUAUGUCGGCCUCACUCUAUUUUCUGUACGUCGGCAACAUUCCACAAAGAGUACCACCUCCUUGCUCAAACAGAGGAUUCGAAGCUUGUGAUCUUCCAUCCAUGUAUCUGAGUACCAACAUUUUAUAUCAAUCAGGGUUAUGACAACUUGAAUAAAACCUAAACAUGUACCGUACAAAAACCCAACCAGCAUUAAUAUGUUGCAUAAUUAUACCAACACAAAGGCAAACCAUGUCUCUGAAUUUCAAACAUAGUAGUACUACAACAUGAAUAGGGGCAGAUCGAUUGUCAUUUUCAUCAAACUAAUAAUACCUCCACUAUAAUCAACAAAACAACCAUUUUUGUUUAAACCAAAAUGGAUUAAGAAAAAAAGAACAAAAAAAAACAUUAAGGAAGAUCAGCAUCCAAUCCGAAAAACUAAUAAAUAUGAAGUCUUUAAACAAAACAUGAGAUAUGCUAACCAAAAUGGAUUUAGAAAAAAAAAAAAAAAAGAUGGAAUCUAGAUCCUGCAUACAAUCCGAAAAACUAAUACAGAUGAAGUUUUUGAAAAAAAAAAACAUGAUUAGAUGCCAAAAAAUAUCUUACUGAUCUUUAAUCUUCAGCUCAGAAUAAGCCUCCUGAGUAUCGACUGGAUUCUUUUCUUUUAUCUUAGAUCACUCCUUCACAAAUGUUUUUUUUUUUAAGGAACAAAUGUUAAAUGUUUGGCUUUCAGAUUUACUGUUUGACUAUUUUAUAUUAAAUCACCUUAAUUUGUUUUGUAUUUAUUGAAGAUACAAAAAUGGAAAAAUAUAUUAAAUGUUAUUAAUAAAAAAUUGGUAAAAACCGGCUUCACCUAAUAUAAACGGUACAUUUGCAAGUUUCACCGUGAGAGACCUAUAAGGCUUGCUCACGUCAGAAGGCGCCAAAUACAAUUGACUUUUUAUACCUUGCAUACCCUAAACUGACCAAAGACACCAAAACCACUCCCACUUACUAAUUUUUACAUUGCACACUUCUCUUUAAACUCAAACUCUCAACUCAAAAUUCCUUUUAACAUUAACUACAAUAUUGCUCUCACCAGCAACAACUUUCUAUACAUGCCACCUGCUUGCAUCCGCAACCAUAACACUAGGGCUAGGCCCAUCCCAAAUCACCUUUAUCUUCUUUCUUGCACCAACUAAUGCUACCUCGUGUUGUGCUCGCGCUAACAACUCACUGCACAUGAUAGCUACAACCUCCAUGACUCCACCGUGAGUCUGACCCCUAGUAUGAUGAUCAUACUUUGCGAUUCGCCAGUGGAACUACAUAUUUGGUAUCUAUCCAUUCCAUAAUAAAUUUCAUGUUUAAAAUUUAAAAAAUCAUUUAUGUGUGGAAUGAUUAUUUUAUAUCAUUUUUUAAAUUAUGAAUAUUAUGGAUGUUAGACCUCCACAAUGUGACAAACUAAAAGUAUGUUUGGAUGACGAGUUUUGAAGGAGAAUUGUGGAGAUAUUUUAUAUUGUUUUUUAAAUUAUGAACACUAGAUGUUUUAAAAAUAAAUUAAAUGUGAUUGAGAUAUUAUAUAAUCAUUUAUCAUGUUUUUAUUUCAAUAUUUUUAAAAUAUCAAAUAUAAUUCACAAUAAAGACUUAGUGUAAGUUUGGUUACGUGUUUCGGCACCUCAAGCACGCGUUUUUGUCAGUAAACGUGAUUCUUGUCUCUUGCAAAUAUGUUUGGCUAUUUCUUUAAGAAUCGAUUUUAUCUCCCAAACUCGAUUCUAUCAAAAGCCAGGAAUCUUAGAUUUUACGGUGAAUCCAAAAUCUAUUCUCAAUUUGCAUUUGGGUUACAAUUUCAGAAUUCAUUUUAUCCCUGUAUUGCCUUAACAAUUAUAUCAAUAUAAUUCUUACUAGGACUCAAUAAUCUGAACCAGAUCUCCUAUAUCUACCCCCUAAAUUGUUGCAUGUUUCUGUUCUAUAUGACUCAAUAAUCGAGAUGGAAUUUAUUUGAUGAGGGAAAAUGAAUAUGAAAUAUGAGAGAUGGGGAAAGAGAAUUGAUAGAAUGGAAGAAGAAAAUUGAGAAAUAAGAGAAGGAGGGAGGAAUGUUAGAGGGGUGACAAAUAUUACGAGCUAUGUUUGAAGGUUAUGACUUUUGUAGUUCUUAAUACUCCGUUGGUUGAUCGGAUACCUAAUGAUCGAAUGGUUUGGAAACCAGAAAAAAAUGGUUUAUAUUAUGUUAGAGGUGCGUACAUGCUAUGUGUCGAAGAGUUAGUCGAUACUUCUCAUCUACGGCGUUCGAGUUUUUGGUCGGGUAUUUGGUGCAUAAAAGUGCCACCGAUGGUAAACCAUAUGGUUUGGUGGAUGUGUCGUGGAUGCUUGCCAACUCGAGUUCGUCUAGAAGAUAAAGGGGUGCAUUCUCUUUGAUUGGUUAAAAUUCACAUGGAUCCCACCAUAUCAUGUGUGACCCCUAUGAAUUUCAACCAAUCAAAGAAAGUGUGUUGACAAGUGUAUGUUAAAAUGUGUGUUGCUAGCAUUUCUCUUAUCCAUAUUUUUUUCCGGCUCUCACACGGAUUUCCGAACCAUCAAAGGUGGGCAACUAAUCAGGCUCAUGCGUAGAAGCAUGCACACUGGUCAAACGUUGUUCCCUCUGAAAAUUGAACUCAAUAUUCCUCGGAUAUGUCCUUAGAAGGAGCUCCUUGAUCCUAGAGUCUAAACAACUUGAUUUCUGAAAUCCAUAUUUUAAAUCCGAAAAAAGAUGCUCUUAGUCGCUUUAUGAUAUUAAUUUUUUAAGAGGUUAUAUUAAAUUUAUAUGGGUUUAAAAGAUGCUCUUACAUAAUUUUUGUUUAAAAAAGAGUCGAAGUUCUGUACGUAAUUACAGUCAUUAAAUAGUCAGUGAAUGACAAAAAGAUAGGGUCAAAAUAAGUAAUAAAUUCCUGAAAAGUAGGAUCUAAGUAAUUUAUGUUGCUCUCAUGUCAUGAUUAAUAUAAGUUAUCUUGUUAUUUAUAGUCCACCCGUAUCAAAGCAGAGUGAUCUAUAUCAUCUUUCUGGCUUAUUCAUGUUAAUAUUAAAAAAAACUCAGCUGAUAAACUUGUUUGUCACCCACCCGUACGUAAAUUGACGUGUGCCUUUCUAUUUUUUUUUUACUCCCUCAGUUUCAAAAUAUAAGCAAAUUUUACUUUUUAGGUUCAUUCAAUUAAUGAUGUAUGUGGUUUAUAACCACAUACAUCAUUAAUUGAAAACCACAUACAUCAUUAAUUGAAUGAACCUAAAAAGUAAAAUUUGCUUAUAUUUUAAAACGGAGGGAGUAAGUCAUACAUAAUUAUUUUAUUCCUCUUGUGUUUUUUUCAACAUGAUGAUUAAUUCCAAACAUUAAGAAAAAUAAACAUACUAUACUUUUGAUUUUUGAAAAAUUAUUUUCCAAUUUUUUAUAUUUGUUACCUUUGAAAAAUGAUCAUAUUUUAAUUUUUUUUUUCAAAGAGUCAAAUGACUAAACUCAUAACACUGAAUGCAGAGAAAUAAAGAAUUAUGAGUUUAAAUCCACACCCCUUAAUAUCUAAUGUCCCUCCAAUUCUUUUUAUCAUUUGGGUUAAAUUUUUUAUAGAAAAUAAUUUUUUUUAAGAAGCCAAAAUGAAAUUAAUAAUCACCAAGAACGAAUUAUCUCGCACAAGGUGUGUUAAGAGAAUCAUUCCUCAAAAGAAUACAAAUCCAGUAUCUGUUGCCAAAAAAAAAAACACAGCUACAGAGAUGAAUAAAAACUACUCCAUAACACUCAUACAAGUUAAAGGGUGCCGCCACCAGUCAUUAUAACUGAAAGCUGAAGUGAACAUAUGAGCCUUUAGCCAAGAAAAAGAAACAAACUUUACAUUGUCUAAUAAUUGUGUCACAUCCCAUGCUUUGUUUUUUAAAAUUAUGUUGUUUCUUUCCUUCCAAACUGUCCAAACGCAAGCAUGCUAGAUAACUUUGAAGAAAGAAUGUGUGACUCUCGGUAACCCCGCCAUGUGGCCAAAUUGAUGAAAAUGGUCAUGACCAGCAUUUGGAGAAAUGAAAGAGACACCGAGCCAUUGGUAAACCCGAUGCCAAACAAUGCCAAAGAUGUCGCAACUGAAAAAAAGAUGAGUCGUCGUCUCCGGACAACCGCAACCACCUAUGCAAUAAAUGUCUUCGUGAUGAAGUGCUCUCCUACGGAUAAGAUUGUCUUUGGUAGGAAGUCAAUAAAACUUAUUCAAUUGUGAAAAGGUCUAAUCAUAAAACAAGAAUUGUACUCAUCACACUAACAAUGAAAAAAUUAACCACCCAUAGUGGGGGAUGUAAAAUUUAUGAGGUUUGGUAACUUUUAGAGAGAGAAGUUCUAACUUCUCUCUUCUCCGUCUUUCACCUACAAACAACAAUCGUCUUCCUACAUCACCCUCCUCUCCUCCCCUUCACAUCCAAACAACAACCGCAUCGAUGUAGAUGCUUGCUGUGGUGGUGUGAUGCCUUUCAUGGCCGCAUCACUGUUCUCCCCUUUUUUCCUCCAGCGACCCUCCUUCCGAAGUUUCUCUCCUCUUCCGUCGCCGUUCGUCGGUUUUCAGGUUUGAGUUGUGUUGUCUGAUUCUGGCUGGUGGUUGUUUGUUGUUCCUUUGGUUCUUCGGAUUUAGUUCAUAUCUGAAGGCUAUAGAGAUCAGAUUGCUUCCUUCACGCCGGAUUGAGGUUAGGGGAUGUUUUGUGUCUGUUCUGCCUUUUCGCAGAAUAGCUUUCUCCAAGGUUGUCCGGCACUGUUUUCGGCGGCGCUCCGGUCGGCGUUUGCUUCGUUUUCCGACGAUGGUUGCCUUGGUCACCGCUGCUUUUGUUUUAGUUUCUUUUAUUUACGUUUUGUUUUAGGAAGUUGAGGUUGGGUGUGGUUUUGUUCUGGAUACGGUGACUCUGUUUGAAAAUCUUUCAUCUGGUUUUACUGGAUUUAGGAUGUGGAUUCUAUUGUUCUUUUCAUCAGUGCGUGGAUUUGUUGGAUGCAUCCCAUGAUCUGGAUUCAACGAGUCUUAUGUUCUCCUGAGGUUGCUCGAAAGAGCUAGGUGCGUAGAUGCUCCGUGUUGACGGUAGUUGUCGUUCGUCGUACCUUAAGAACUAUAUCUGCUGCGGUUGCUUCAUGCUCUGCGGUGGACUGUGUUGGAGUUCCUUCGUUUGUUCAUCCCUCGAUCUGGACAACGAUUGGAUUGGUUCGGCCCGAAAGGGCGUGUAUGACUUGCUGUUUAGGGAGUUGCUGGAACUUGAAUCAGACUGUGUUGACAGAACGCCUAUUUAGAAGCUUGAAACACUAGAACUAUGUUUUUUUGCAAUUUGGUUUCGCGUCCAUACGUGGGUGCGCUGGAUUGUCCGUGGUUGUUGCUGUUUUGAGUUUUGCUUUUUACCCUUUUGGUGGUUUAUUUUAAUCUUAUUUCUAUUUUGCUUAAAAAAAAAAACCACCCAUAGUAAAAUAUUUAAACAACAAGAAAAAAAGAAAUAACCCAAAAGAAUUUACGACACCGUCGACAUCACCCGUCUUAAUCGUUCUCGAUCGCUCUAUUUUCCCUCCCCUCUUUUCCUCUUCUUAUGGACGUCGCAACUUCUCUACAAAUCAUAGUUUUAAUCUUUAUUAAAUACUAAAUCACAUUGUAUGCUUUGCUCAACAACAAAAAAUCAAUUUGUAAAAAAAAUCAUAUAACCUUUAUCUUAUUAAAAUAUAUAAAAAGGAAAAGAAUUUAAUUUUAUGAAAGCUUAAUUGUGAAAAAUAUAUUUAUGGAUAAAACAUGAGAAACAAUUACGUUAGCAUAUCUCUACCUUAUCCUAAUAUCACAUAUAAAAUAAAACUGAGGAGUAGUUAAUCAUAAAAAAAUAUAAACAUGUCUCAAAAACAAAUAAUUAAUCUUUAUCCAGGAAAUACAAGUCGGAUUGGAAGACUUUUCAUAAAUUAUUAACGAAUAAAAAGUUACUCAUAUAUUUGUAAUGAAACCGUCAAUGAUAGGAUUUUCUUUUUGAAAGGUCAGUGAUAGAAUUUUCAAUGUGUUAUUGUUGAUCCUUUAAAAAAAAAGUGUUAUUGUUGAUUUUUUUUCCAAGUUAUAUUAUUUGAGUCUAAUUUUAUAUUUGUGAGCAAAUCAUAAUUAAUCACAUGAACGACCCUUGAAAGUAGUUAUAAUUAAGGAUUUUAAUAUUUUGAUAGUUUUAUUUUUUUUAAAUAAGAUAGUUAUGACUUAUGAUUGAAUGAUAGUGAGUAAUAUUUCAUUCUAUUUUUUUUCUCUUUUAAUUGCAAGUUAAAAUAUUAUUGGCAAACCUAAUAUGACUUCAAGGUGAAAACUCCCACUUUGGUUGGAGAAACUGUGUGGCUUCCUAUUCAAAUGUUUCAUGUGGCAUAAUUUCUUCCUUGGAAUGGAUCUUCUUCAUGUCUCUCUCAGCGAAUAAAUAAUGCUCAUAAUUUGUCUUGAGCUAAAUUGAUUUGAACUUCUUACAUUCGUACUUCUAAAUAUUUUUUGCUUUGAAUACUUACUUAUUCAUAACAAAGUUCCUAUAUGUGAACAUCUUCGUUCUAAAGGUUGUAAUAUAAUCUCUAUUUGUUGUCACUAUUAUGGGGUGCAAACGAAACUUUCAAUCAUUUUUUCUCAACUGUCCCUUUUCUUAUGACAUUUGAGGUUGGAAAUAGGCUUCCAUUGGUUGUUGUAUUAAUACUUAUAAUAUUGACUACUUUGACUUUUCUUGAUAUUGAUUUUGAAUGAUGAAUUACAAAUUGUUUUGCUUGUUGUAGUUAUUAAUAUCUUUUGGUUCAGUCGAAAUCAACCGCGCUUUCAUAAUAAGAUUAUUUUUCUUCAGUUCAUACAUGAAUUAAUCAAGAGGAGUACUUCUCUUGCUUUAUCUAUUUGCACCGGUCACAUAUUAAACUCAAUUAAAGAAUUUUCAAUUCUAAAUUUUUUAGAGUGAUCGAUUUUCAUAAAAAAGCUCAAUAUAUUAUUUGGCGGAUUUAAAAUCUUCCAUGUGUUUGGUUUAAGUGUAAAUACAAAUGAUGCACCUAGACUCUAUAAACCUUUCCUUUUAGAAGUGUAACUAACAAAUAGCCUAGGUGUCUUCAAACCCACAUGGGGUGAUACUAGUACAUCAAAAAUACCAAGCAGGGAAUUAUAAAAAAUAGAAGGUACCUGAUGUAUAGUUAUCAAUUGAAAUUUUUGAGGUCUAACCAAAACAACGAUCACCUAUUUUUGAUUAACAACACUUGUUAGACCUUGGUUCUCUUGAUCCUUGUGACUUGUGAGGGGUGUGGGUGACAAAAUUGACUUAUUUGGCCUUCAAAUCCUUGAUUUGUUGAACCUCAUUAUGAACCAUGAGUUCAAAAAUGUAAUCAAGUUGUUGAGGGACUUGACAAUUAAUGUUAUGUAUCUCCAUGUCAAUCUUUUGUCCAAUAAAAGACAUUGUCAUUACCACCAGUGUUUCAAGUGGAUCAACUGGUGGUGCACACAAAGGGCCAUAAAUGUUAUCAUUCCUAACAUUUGUGAAGGCUUGUUUGGUCUUUAUUGACUUUACCUUUGUGAUACUGAUGAUAACACAUGUGAUCUUUAUGCCAAAAGUCUUUCCAGAUCUCAGGUGCAUACUCUAAACGUAGUCUUGAUCGGAAAAUUGGAUUCUUCAGUGGUAAAAGUUUGUAUUUUUCCACUGAAUGUGUCAAAUUUGUUGAUGGAGCUAGAAAUUAGUCGAUGUAUCACAUGAUGUCCUCAACCAUGUUUCUCUUUCUUCAAAUAACUAAUCUUUGAGGAAGGAAUUAUGUCCCCCCACUUUAGGUUUCGUAACUGGCUCAGUAAAGCGUCAAGUACAAUUGUUUUUGGAUUUCUUCUACUAGGCUAAGAAAUGUAUGUAAAAAUAAGAUAAAUACAAAAUGAUAAAGAAAUAAAAUAGCAAAAAUAACUUAUGUUUGAUUCAUUGAUUGUUUGUUUAAUACAUCGUACAAAAUAAGUAUUUAUAGACAAAUCUAUUCUACUGAUCAGUACAAUGUGAUCUAAAGUGUCUAGCUUUGCCUGAUUAUUUUCACGGAUAGUGUGCAAGUUUUUCUUUGGUUUAGAGGAUCAUGGCACCCCACGGUCGACUAUAAGCUUCCCACUUCACGACAUGAUAUAUUGACGAAGCCCAUAAUGCACAACCUUUCCUCAAAACUUGUAUCCUUACACUUCGUUCAGUGGAGUUAGUGACACUAUAUACAUGAAACUUGAGUUUGAUGCAUAAUUGUCGAGUUCUUCUGCAUACUAGUCUGUAGACUUGAAAAAAACCAUUUAUCCCUAAUUGGACGGUCAUAGUCUUUGCCUAACCUUCUAUCAAUUAAGGAUAACUUGCCAAGUGUUCUUUUAAUAUUUUUUUUUUUAUACACCUUACCAAGUAUUCUAAUCGUCUAUCUAUCAAUUACGCUUGACAACCCACCUUUGUUUUUCUUUUAAUAAGUUUUCAUAAAGAGUAAUAAAAUUUUCUUGGUACCAACAUACAAUAGUUAGGAUAAAAAUAAUCUUACUUGAUGUUUUGUAAAUCAUAUUCACUUAAAAAAUUUUCAUUAAAACCAUAUCUUAUUAUUUAAACUAGACUAGAUCUUGAUUGCACACACUUCAAGCCUAACAUGACAAAAAUUUAUUUUAACCAAGUAAACGACAAACAUAUUAUGUGUCUCCAUCAAUCAAUUACUUCUAACGUUUCUUUCUUUCCCCCUCACCAAAUAAAAACAUCAUUUUCCUUCCCCCUCCUACAUUCCAAACACAUAACUAUAAAAAUUGAUAAAAUUUCAUUUAUUUCCAUUCAUAUUGCGUGCAUCAACCAAAAUCUCUGAACUCCGAACCAAAAACAGCACCGUUCUCACAAAAACACCAUAGCCAACAGGAUCUUCCUCUGUUUCUUCAUUUUCUGAUCUAACCAAUCAAACGGGAAUAAAACCAUCCACGUGUCAUCUAUCACCUGAUUCAUGUCUCCUUAACCAUCGAAAACAAACGAAUCCUCUUCCAUUUUCAUGAUCCAAGACACGUUAAAAUCUUAAACUAAUCAGAAGCUCCGGUUCGAAAUGAAGGUUUUCUUGGUUCGUUACUGAACCGAACCGGUUUUGGUUUUUUUUUUAUUUAGAUUUUGUUGUUAUUAGCGGCGGUGAUGAGAGGGAGCUGUUGGUUGAACCGUCGGAUUGAACAGAGGUUUCGGUUACUUGCGAUCUCCACCGUUAAAUCAGCCAAGAUCAAGCUUCUGUUAUUUUGUUGCGUCGCGUUAACGCUUCUCGCGUUUUCUUCUACUGGUUCAAGUUUCUUAUUAUGGAAUAAUACUAAUCAAACCCCUCAAAUUCCGAGUUUCACUGAUUCAAGGUUCGUUCAAUUUAAUUCUUGAAUUUAAUUUAUCGUUUAAUUAUUUCAGCACUAUAGUUAAUGAUGAUUAAUGGUUAGUUUUGUAGUUUCUACUUUAGGGUGAUAUAAUUGCAUUUAAGAAAAUACAAAAUUUAUUUUUGGUGGGAAAUUCUUUUAUGGAAAUGUUUUUUUGUUGUUGGAAAAAUACAAAGUUUCGGUUUUUUUAUGGAAUUUCUAAAUAUGUAUUUGGGACUAAGAUUCUGUUUGGGUUUUAUUUGCUGUCUUUUUGUUUGUUUGUUUUUGCAUAGGAAAUAUAAAUAGAAAGGGAUUUUAUAUAUAAUAAGGUUUUAUUGCCUUGAUUUGAAGGUUAGUGCUAAAGUUUAACUUGAAGAGUAAAAUAGGGAAAUGAACUUUAGGUUUAGUGCUCAGAUUUGGAAUCUAUAUAUAUUAAGGUGAUUAGUGUUAUUUAUACAUUGAAAUGAGCUUGUAGUGUUGGGAAUUUUGGAUAUUGAUCUAUGAAGCACAUAUACUCCUCGGAUUAGGCGUGUUCAGGUGUCAGAUAUAUGACACCAACAUGACACAUAUGAUUACAUUAACUAUGUAAUUUUCUCAAAUAUUAUUGGUGUCGGCGUGUCCGUGUCAUGUCCGGUGUCUCUGCUUCAUAGAUAUUGAUGUUUAGAGAUGCGUUUCUGAUGUCACUUUUGUUCAAAUUUGUAUACCGGAAGUUGGAACAAUUACCUGGACUUUGAAUAUUUUUUGGUACUACUGUCCAGUGAUCAUCUGAUCAAGUACGAAGUUCAGAUCAGUGAUUUGUAGCUGAUGGAUAAUUUAGUGUGUUUUUGGUCAGUUUUUGGCUAACAUGAUUUAAAUGAACUUGAUUAUGUAUAAUUUGGUUAAAUUUGAGUUUGACGUGAAGAAGUUAGAUAUAUUUGGAUAAAUUUACCCUGAAACUAAGUUGAAUGUACAACUUUAGAAUUAAUUUGUCAACACAAUAUCCACUUUUUAUCUCUUAUGGUUAGAUCGAUGUAUAGAGACAAUUUAAAUUUUGGUUCAAAAUAUCCACUUUUUAUCUCUUAAAGUCAUGCUUGAGAGAAGGAAAACAAUUUUGACCCUCUGAAUCAUGAAUUUAAACAGGCACUUAAUGUUAUUAGAGUCACCCUUUCUUGAUGACCUUUCAAAGUUAACUUACCCUGGAAUUAGAGAAAAAGGGAAACAACAAAAUCUGGGGUUGACUUUUAAAUUCUAAAUUUUAUUUUCAUAAGAGUGCUGAGGUUUUGUUGCUAGUAAUACCAGAGAACUAAUUGUUGUUUAUUCUUUGUUCACAGGAAAGGAUAUUCUAUUGUAAUGAACACGUGGAAGAGAUAUGAUCUCUUAAAGCAGUCUAUCAAACAUUAUUCAUCUUGUCCUCGACUUGAAUCAGUACAUAUUGUGUGGAGUGAACCCAAUCCUCCUUCAGAAAGUCUUCUAAAAUAUCUGCACCAUGUUGUAAAGUCCAAGUCUAGAGACGGACGAUAUGUAAAGUUGAGGUUUGAUAUCAACACGGAAGACAGUUUGAACAAUAGAUUUAAAGAAAUUAAGGAUUUGGAGACUGAUGCUGUCUUUUCUAUUGACGAUGAUGUCAUAUUUCCUUGCUCUUCGGUGGAAUUCGCAUUUGAUGUUUGGCAAAGUGCACCUGAUGCAAUGGUGGGAUUUGUACCUCGUGUCCAUUGGGUAGAUUCAUUGGUAUGUAUGGUUUAUCUAUAUCUAUUUUUCAUUCCAUGAUUUUCAAUUAUCCUUGAUAUUUUGAUUACACAUUAUUACCUUUAUGCCUCUGCUUUUGGAAGUAAAACAUGAGCUAAAAUGUGAAUAACUAAUUAAGCUUGGAGCAGGGAAAUUCAUUUUUUAUAAUAAUCUUCAUGCAUUAUUUCCUGUUCUUUGUUUGAACUGCUACAUUGGCCUUUCAAGAUGUAGUUUUGCAGAACAUUGAAAGCAUACAUUUGUGAAACAUAUGGUAUGCAGAUCCAUUUAAAAAUUGAGCAUGAAACCUUACUGCCAUAAAACAACAAAAAUAGCACAUUUUAUAUAUUGCACGUGUAAUUUAGUUUCUAAAGCCGACCGUUAUUGUUAUAUGAGGACCUGUUAUUUUGUCCCUGUUGUGGAUCUAACUGAAAGGUAAAGAAAGUUGAACAUUUAUCAAAGAAGAAUUUCAUCUCUUAAAUCCAUGCUUCAAGUAGCUGCUAGUCAUGUUUGAUGCAUCUUUAAAUCUGAUGUGAACUUAUGAUUAAUGUCUUUUAGAUUUCGUUUAUCACUUUUCCCAUGUUCAGAUCAGAGAGAUAAAAAAUAUUUAAAAAAACCUGUAAGGCUAAUCUUCCAAGUUAUUCAAUGUUCUUGCAGAAUGGCGACAGCAACAAAUUUAGAUAUGGUGGAUGGUGGUCUGUGUGGUGGACGGGUACAUAUAGUAUGGUGCUCUCCAAGGCAGCAUUCUUUCACAAAAAGUAUUUCAGUCUCUACACAAAUGAGAUGCCAUCAUCAAUUAGAGAAUUUGUAACUAAGAACAGGUUUUUAUCUGAACUAAACAUCCCCCUGCUAAUUUUUUAUUUAUUUAUCAGACUUCUUUCAUAUUUAAUUCCAACCAUUUUGUUAUUUUCUCAAUAAUUCAAAUGAUUUACCAGGAAUUGUGAAGAUAUUGCAAUGUCUUUUCUUGUCGCGAAUGCAACCGGUGCACCCCCGUUAUGGGUUAAAGGUAAUCUAACAAUGCCGUAUCUUUUCACUAUUGAACAUGAGUUGCAUGAAUUUUCUCUUUUCAUUUUUCCUGUUUAGUUCAGAAGUUCCUCAACUUCACUAGCUCAAAAUGUAUAUGCACUUGUUUUCCCGUCUUUCUCCUUUCUGACAUUUGUAAGAUAGAUUUAUGGUAGAGAUCCAAUGAAUGAUACAUUAUUAGGGUCAGUAGAAACAUUCAAGCAAACCACAUUUUCAUAUUCUUCAUUGGCUGCUAGAAGCAGUUGUAGUUUGUUGUGAUCAAUUGAAUGAAAUUCUUCCCUCUCCUUCUUGGAUUAGAUGGUGUUUGCUAUCUUGUUAACAUGCAUAAAAGUUAUAGCAAUAGCAAAAGGAUGUAGCUGCAAUUCAGAUUUCCAGUCCUUGACUUUUUGUCCCUUUAUUACACCCUGUAUAUUGAAGCAAUUAGUACAACAAAUGUAAAACUGAGAUUGAAAUUAUUUUCAACUGAACAUACCAUAUAUGUUUCUUAUAAUUAAGGAAGUUAAAGUAUCGAUUCUUUUGUUCCUUUCUGUGGACCAAAUUGUGCAAUGAUGCCUAGCUAUCAUAGCAUGUUUUCAGUUAUCUUGAUUUCGUAUGUUUUGGCUUAUUUUGUGUUGCACCAUGAAACUUAUUUUUGAAACCAAUGACCAUGCUACCUAGUGUUUUGCGACAAGUUGUGUACACUGUCUCACCUUGUUAGGCUUUGUAUAAUCUUAAGUAUUGAUUGUGAAGUUCCAUGCUAAUGUUUGGUUUUAUGUUGCCCAUCAUGGUAAUACAAAUCAAACAUUGCCCUCGUUGGUUCUAAACCAUGUUAAUAUAUAUCACCCAUACAAAGAAAUGUCUUUUUUUUUUUUUUUUUUUGACAAACAUGUAUAUGAUGUUAACUUUGUGGAUUUUGUCUUUGUUACAGGUAAAAUAUAUGAGAUUGGAUCAACUGGAAUUAGUAGUUUGGGAGGUCAUAGUGAACGGAGAUCAGACUGUGUCAACAUAUUUACUUCUGUGUAUGGGCGGAUGCCCUUAGUAUAUACCUCAGUGAAAGCCGUUGAUAGUCGCAAUGUCUGGUUUUGGUGAUUGGUAGAUUGUAAUUUUCGUUGCAUUUUUAGAUAUUCCACUGUUGUCAAUUAUUGUUUAGUAGCUAGUUUUUUUUUUACUCUGUUUAGUUGCUAGUUGAGUUACCACGUUCACGUUAGUCAUUUAUAGCUGUAUGAUAUUAAAUUUUAUACACAAUUCUUGCUUUUUUACUCUGUUUAGCAAGUUCCUUAGGUUGAUUUCUUGUAAUAUUGAAUUGUAAUGAAAGGCAGCAUCCUCUGUAAGGGUGCUUUUUGUCUCAGAGAAUAAGGAUUUGAUUGUAGAAUAUUGAAAUUGAAGGAUAUUAAAAUUUUAGUAAUUGUAAUUUAUCUUGUGUGUAGAGUAGCAAAUAAAGUGCUAACACGGGUAAAUCAAACCACAGUCAGAAUGUACAAAUAUCAAUGACUAACAUUUUCUUCAAACUGUAAAAUGAACCAAAAAUAAGCAUCUAAUUCAGUUGGUUUACAUCGAGCAUUUGAGUACCGAACACACUCUAAGCUGCUCAUGUUUGUUGAAGGAGUGCAACUUAAACAACUUGGCGAUCACAUCAGCAAUCUGACCUUGUGUUUAACAAUGAACUAACACAAUACUUUCAUCUCUUGUGAUAUCAUUUAGAAAAUGUAAUUGACAUUGAUGUGUUUUCUAUGCCACUGGAUUUUACAGAGCGUAACAGGCAUCACAUAUUAGAGAGCUACUUUUGUCCCCUCACGCCCUUUCUUAAAAACCGAUCCUGUCUAGAUGCACGUUUCGGAUGGAAAAAACACCAUGUUCCUGCCGACAGAUAGAUAAUCCGAGCAAAUUGCUGACCGGAUUGGUUUUUAAUGGGGUAAUAUAACCAGCCCUCCACAUAGGGUCUUAGCUCCUAAAGUUAUAACCCUAAUUAAGUUGUUCUACUUUCACACUCUUCACCAAUAAAACAAUCCUCACAAACAAUAGAUAAUCUGAAUUAGCGGUUUAGUUUACAUUUAAUAGAAAACCUAAUGGUUCUACAAGGAUAUUGGGAUCUGUAAAUUGGGUGCUGCACAUUGAUAUUAACAUGUAAUAGAAAACCUAUAUAGUUUGCAUUUUCGAAACACAUUGCUACUAAUCCAAACUGUACACUAUGUGAUAGAGCUUGAAACUGUUAUACAUGUUCUGUGGGAUUGCAAUUAUGCAAGACAGAUAUGGAACACAAUUCUGCUACAACCUGGAAACAAAUUUUUUUGAUGAUGAACUGCUUGGAUGAAUAUGAACAUAUUUGCAAAUUGGACUGCACAUCAGAAAAAUAUAGCAACCUUUGUUGUUGCUUUGGACUGUAUUUGGAGAGCUAGGAACAAAAACAUUUUUGAGAAUUGUCCUCAUAAUUUUGAAGAUAUCUGCCAGGACAUUAAAACCAGAAGCAAUGAACUGAUCCAGGUAUACAAUCUGCAGCAAACAGUUCAGUCUGAUACUGAUUUUAACACUUCAGUCAGUGGAAUUGGUUGGCAAAGGCGAGUACAUUCUUGGUUUUGCGAGAAACAUCUGUCAUCAUGGCAGAAUUUUCUGCAGUAUUCUACGGUUUAAAAUUCCUGAAACCGAUUCGAUGGAGGCUUUGAGUAUUAUGCAAGCCAGGUGUGUCCAAAUCAUCCAUGUUGCGUGGCGGGGAAUCAUGUCCUUCGGGAAGUGAAUCAAGCAGCGGAUGCCUUUGCCAAGGAGGGAUUGAAUCAGUCGAUGCAAAUGCACAUUUUAAUCAAUCUUCCUACUUUUUGCUAUAGAGAGUAAUUAGUAAAGUGAGGAAAUCACUUAUUAAUGUUUUAACCACUCACGAUUUGUUAUGCAUGUGCAUAUAAUAUCAACUAUUGAUUUGGUUAUCAACGACUGGUAUUUCUCCCGAGUGAAUUGCUCUCUUUAGAGGAGCAUUAUCCAUUUAUAUAUAACCAUAUACAACUGUACCAUGAAUCACUAGCUGUAAUUGGAUAAAAAAACUACUUGGAUAAACAAAUUUCCACAAAACAAAAAACAAAAAUAUGAAGGAUAAAAAAACUGAAUUUAAAGUGGGAUAUAUAGAUGGAUAAUAUGGACAAUUGUCAUAUUUGUAAGUUAUCUAAUUCUUCUAUAGGAAAGCUAGUACUAUUCUCUUGCUGUCCACCAGUGUUCCAAAGGAAACUAGCAUACUUUGAUAAAUAGUAAGUGUUUCCAGGAUCUGCUUCCAAUGCUUGUAGAUAUCUCAGCUCUGCUGCCCAAUUAUCCUUUCUUAUCCACAACAAGAAAUCACCAUAUCUACAAUAUGCUUCAGCCUCUGGUGACUCCACUACCACUGAUUGCUUGUAGUAUUCUUCAGCACUGUAACCAUAUCAAAUGUACAAAAUAAGAAAAUUCAAUUAGUAAUGAAGUAUGUAACUCUUAAAACUUCAAAGAAUGAUGUCACUCUUGUUGCUAUUUGGUAAGAACUAGAAGUAUUUUGAAGGCUUAACCAAAACUAACCAAUCACACAUUUGCAUCUAAUUUGGAUUGUGUGCUGUGUGACUGCACGCAGUUAACCACAUGUAGACGAUCCAUAUUUCAAUGCACAUUUUGAUAUAUAUAUUUUUUAAAUCUAAAAUGUUGAGCUUGAAAUCUAAACCGUCUAAUUAGACGUGGCUAACUAUGCGCAGUCACAGGGUUGUUAAUACACAAUUCAAAUCCUUUUUUGUGCCUACCAUAUAUAAGCAUAAUGACUAUACAAUAAAACAUAAGGACAAUAAACAGCCAUAAUAUUCAGUUGCAAAUUUUCAUACUCAUAUUUGUCUGUCAACACUGAAAAAUGUCAUUUCAAUCCACUUUAGGCCAAAACAAAUACACUGAAAAUUACUAAUUUUAGCUUCAAAACAAAUAAAAAAAUUAAUCACCCCUUCAUUGCAUAAAGGAACAAACAAGCAUAUCAUAUGAUUCUUUUCUAGGUAUAUUUUUCUCUUAAUACAGAACAUGGUUUUAAUUAGCAGGCUGUAACAACAAAAUUGCAACUACAAUAUAAAGGAUUUUGAAGUCUAUGAACAGCUUCAACCGCAUUUUAUAGCAUAACCGCGACUGCAAUUUAAAACCAUGUAGCAACAACAUCUAAUACUAGCCAAAUUGUAAUACAUAAUUGGUUUAUGAGAACUCACCCAUCAUUGUCCUUCAUGACAAGGAAGAGAAACUGUGCAUAGUUAGACAGAAGAAGUGAAUUGUAAGGUGCAAGAUUUAUAUGCUUUUUGUAAUAAGCAUCAGUUUUCUCAUAUUCCUCAUAUUGAUCCCCUUCAAUCUCCACAGAAACAGGACUCAGAAACUUCAUCAUUGUUUCAUGAUCCAAAUCCUCACCCCUCAAUUCUCUUUGUAUCUUUGAAGCUUCCUCCAACAUAAAAUUCCACAACUUUUCUUCCUCUUCUGUCAACUCCUUCUUUACACCCACAUCUUGAACAACAUCACCAUGUAGAACUUCAUUCAUCAAUGAUGAGUUAUUGUUACUCAUAGAGAACAAAGAAAAGUUACUUAGGAAAACCAUAACAUCAACCAUAAGAGUUGGUGUUUCACUGAAAACCUGUUGAAACAACCAAACAAAUGAAUCAUCCAUUUCUCUAUUUAGCUUAACCAUAACACUUUCCAAGUCUUCACCACAAAGUAACUCUCUUGUUUGCAAAGCAUGAUUUUGAAGUUCAUGAAGCAUAAACAACAUAGACGAAAAACUCUUCUUAACAGAACAAUUAUUCAAUUUACUUGCUUCAUCUUUCAAACCUUCCUCUAAUUGUAACUUCUUCUUAAUCAUCCUUAUAGAUAAAGGGAUUCCAACACUUUUCACUUUUCUUUCAAAACUCAGUCUCAAAAUCUCUUCUCUCUCUGGCCAACUAGGUGGUUCAGGUUGAAUACCAAGAAAAGAAGGUUCCAAGAUUUCUCUUUUAUUUUCAUUACUGUGAAAAUGAAAAUCAUCAAAAAGAGAAGAAGAACAAGAACAAGAACGGUUUACUCUUUUACCCCUCAAGUUUCUUGAGAAGGAAAAACAAUUGAUUUUGUUCCUUAGUGGCAGAGAAGAAACUGAACGUGGUGAUUUCAAUGAAUCAGAGGGAAGAGAAUAAAGGGUUCUUAGUUUCCAAUAUUCAAGUUUGGGAGAGACACUUGAAGCCAUGUUUGGUUACAAAGUUUUUCAAGAAAUCAAAGAAAACAAAAACAAUGAUGAAUUUUACAAUAAAAAAACCCUUUUACCCAAAAAGAAAAUUUGAUCACAAUCAAGGGAAAUCCGUGCAUAUAAUAGAGAAAUUUCAAAAGGGUAACAUAAAAAGUUUAUCUUUUUGAUAUCAAAAGUCUAAUAAGAUCACUACAAUUUUUGAUAAAUUGAGAACACAAACAAAAAAAGGGUGAAGAAAAAAAAAUCCUUUUAUAGUAAAAAACAUGAAAAAAAAUCUAAGAGAAGGGGCAAGUUUUUGACUUUUGAGGAUGUUUUUGUUAUACUGAAGUUAUGAUGAAACAGUACAAGGUUUUGUUGAGCUGAAAAGUGGAGUGGAUAACACGUGGGGUCUCUAACAAACGUGGCAAUGAGAUAAAGUACGUGAGAUAUUUAUUUUUGGUAUGAAUUUGUGACUUUUUAAUGGAUUUUUUGCUUAGAUAUUUUGAUUGAUAAGUUUGUGGAUUGUGCACUUUUCUUUUGGUAAAAGGAUCAUGCACUUUUUGGGUUUGAAUGGUUCUUGAUCCGAAUUGUGAUGCCUAGUCAUAUGCAACUAUAUCACUUGGGAUGGGUAAGUCACAUAAUUCUAAACUACCGCAAGCUGGAUUUUUGGAAGGAUCGUUAAAGUAGAUAAAGAGGCGGGUCGGGUUUAUUUUGGCCACGUCCAAUCUUAAAAUUCAAAAAAUUCAAUUUAGUGAUGAGUGAGUUGGUUUGGAAGUGGCUGCGGAGUCUUUGGGUUUGGAAGGAGGAGAUGUUAGUGGAGUGUAGGAAUUACGGCAGCGACGUGUGGAGGUGGAUUCCCUGGUUGUUGGAUAUACAUUUAGAGGGGUAUACUGACUUCUCACUGCGAGGUUGUCCUGUGUUCAUGUAUCCGAGUCUCUAUUAUGGAGGAAGGAAAUUCCUUUGGAGAUUACCGUGUUCAUCGCUUACGAAUUCGUUUGCCUACCAAAUCAAAUCUGUAUCGUAGAGGCAUUAUCUCAUCCCAGAAUUUUCUGUGGUAAAGAGAGCUAUCCCGUGCAGCUCCUGAAAAAAAAAAAAAAAAAGUAAAGCUAUUGUCUUUUUGGUGGUUUAAAGCUCAUCAUGUUGUCUUUCAUUAUAGCUUUUAUAAUUGGUGCCAAAACCCAUUUCAUUAUAGCUUUUAUAAUUGAUGCCAAAACCAAUUAUUGGCUAAUUCAUACUUUUUGCUGUUUGAAAUACUGUUGUAAAUUUUGGCUUUCUUCUCGGUACACCUUGUGCCGGGAGGAUAGUCCUUUGGCUUUUUAUAUCAUUUUGAUUUAUUAAUUUUUUUUUUACCAGUUACGUGUUUCAUGACUUUAAUGAGCAUUAGCACACAUCUUCUAGUCUUUGACAUAAAAAAAAAAUAAGGUUGUAAUAACGAUAACGAAAGGUACGCGCUUUCAUCUCUCUCAGUGUGGUUAGCACUAGGUGUUUCCGAGCAGCGAGGCUUAAAAGAAAUUUUCUAAAAAAUGUAAUUAAAUGACAUUAUUUUUUAUGAAAAUUUCAAAACUUAUACAAUUUAAAAUUUUAAAACUUAUAAUGAUGAAAUACUUCUAAAUCAGUAUAUAAGUUUUAAACAAUUUUGUAAAAAAAAAUCUUAAAACAAUUUUUUUUUAACAUGUUGAGUCCGUGGCGGAUUCAUGAAUUUAGAAUCUUAAAUCCAUUGUUCGAAAAAACUGCUCCGGGUUUGAAUGAGUUUUGAAAUUUCUUAAAUUGUUGAUAAAAAUCACAUUUUUGCUUAUUUUCCUUCUAGUUGAUAGAGAUGUGUGUACUUUUAAUGUGGAUGCUGUGUAUGAACAACUUCACUUCACUUCUUUGUUCAUUUUUUUCCUUUAUGUUAUUGAUAAUUAAUUGGAUAAUUGUCAGAAUAUCAUUCUCUUUUUAUUUAUUUAUGUUAUUCAUAUCAUUCAUUUCUUUGUUUACUUAUUUAUUUAUUUAUUUAUGAUCAAGGUUGUUUCAAUUAAAUUAGAGGUUCCACUCUAAUAUUAAAAAUGGACUCUAAUAAUAAAAACUAUGGUAAUUUGAACAAUUAUAACUUAAUAAUAAACAUUAUUUUGAUUUUAAUUUGUUUUGUUGUUUUUUUUUUUGUUGUUGGUGGAUUUUUCUAUUCAUUUAGAGUAGUGCUAUAUAUUUAUAGCGAAAACAUUUAUCUCAAAUUUUUCACGAACAACCAUAGUUUCACAAGACCGACAUAAUGAUAAAGGAAUGGCGAUGAAGGACGACAAAGGAAAGCUACGCAUGGCGCGACGUGAUCGAUGAAAGACGCACACGAUGAUGAUGGGAUAAACAAAGACACACGUUGCUUUGGAAAGGUGUAAGUUCAACAGAGAAAGAAGUCGAAAACGUUUGGAUACAUCGUUCGUGAAAAUAUCGCUAUUGUUUUUGUCGCGAGAUUUAGCAUUUUCCAUUCUUUUUUAAUCAAAUAAUAAGUGUUUGAUUUUAAACAUGAAACAAAAAUCCUUAACAAAACAAUAAAUUUCCAUAACCCUAAACAUAACAUUUUAUACAAAAAGCAAACGUGAGACAAAAAUAAAAACUAUUACAGCUGAAAGGAUGAUUUUAAAUGGUGAGUAAGGGUUGUCUCCUAAAAGUUUCCUGAAUUAGAAUUGCACUUUAGCUACAUUAUGAGAAUAAUAAUAUUUUUUCUUGAUUCUCCCUUUGUUCUUUCUUUCAUAUCAUUUCAUUGUGUGUGUAAUUGAAGGGUUCAUCCUUACGACCGAAGAAAGACUAGGGUUUAAGCUGGUUAUAAUGUGAUCGUUUUACCUUGAACGAACGGUGGAGUUUAGCAUGGGAAAGGAUAAUUGUUUCCUACCAUGGGAAAGUUAUUUUUGACCAUUAGAUUAAGUUGCUUUAUCAUAGACUCUCUACAUUAUAUUUUUUCCUUUCACCUUCAUCACUCAUCCACCACCACAAACUCAUUCACCAUCACAACCUUUUGCAAGAUCAGACCAACCAUCGCUACCAUUCCAACGACCUUUUUUACAGCAGUGCCAUUCCAACAACUUAACACAGUUGGAAGAUGAAAAAAUACCCAAACUUUGUUCAUAAAAAUACCCAAAUCUGAUUCUGAAUAAUUUUAGUUUUUGAUGUAUUUUUUAAAAAAAUGAUUUAAUAAAUAAUAUUAGUUUGAAUAAGUUUUAUUUUAGAAACAGUUGGGAGAGGGAAAAAAACUGCCGUGAAUUUAUUUGUAGAAGGUACGUCGUAUAUCAAUUGCUCCCUCCUUGUUUCUCAAACUUUCUUCCACGUGGGAAUGUAUUUUGCAGUACAUCCUGUAACAUUUUGAGAUAAAUAAGGUUCAUUAAGGAUGAUUUUUGAGUAUGGCUUCCAUAUUAUCUGGGAGAUGAAUUUCAGUCAUAAAUUGAAGAAAAGAACAUAAUAAAGAAGAACAAUGAUAGAUUGAAUUCUAUGAAACAUUCUCACUUUGAACAGCAGCCUAUUUUGUGUUGCCGUGAAUUUAUUUGUUGUUUCUAUAAUUGUGAGUGAAGAAAUGAGAUUCAUGGCAAUAGGUGUUGGUGGAUGUGGGUCAAUUGCAAUCUCAUAGAGGUUGAAGACUGUGUUUGAAAAAGAAAGAUAUGGUGUGGAAAGACCCUGAUAAAGAUAUGUUCCUUACUUAAUCUAAUGGAUAAAAACAACUUUUCCAUGAUGGAAAACAACUAUCCUUUCCCAUGCUAAACCUCACCUGAACGAACACGUUCGAUUUAGAAGAAAAAAAACCAAAAACUUAUCUAUUUUUUUUUUGUUCAGUAAAAACAAGAAACAAAAACCCUAAACAAAACAAGCAAUGUCUAUAACCCUAAACAUUGAAAUUUUAUAUUAGGCUAAAUUGCAUUUUUGGUCCCUUAACUAUUUAGGUAGUAUCGCUUUGGUCCCUUAACUAAAAUUCGAUUUAUUUUGGUCCUUUAACUUCUCUUUGUUACAUAUUUUGGUCCUUUCCGUUAAUUUUAAUUAAAAAACAUUAGGUUUUCUUCAUCUUCUUCUCCUCUUUUUCAUCUUCAUAUCAUCUCCAUCAACCUUCAACAACAAGAAUCUCAGAAAAAUUCUAGAAGAAAAUGGAGAAAACCUAACGUUUUUGAAUUAAAACUAACGGAAAGGACCAAAAUGUGUAACAAAGAGAAUUUAAUGGACCAAAAUAAAUCGAAUUUUAGUUAAGGGACCAAAGUCAUACUACCUAAAUAAUUAAGGGACCAAAAAUGCAAUUUAGCCUUUAUAUUAAAUACAAAAUGAAAAAAAAAAAAAUCAAAAACAAUUACCAUUGCAACCAUAAAGCUUAUAUGAUUGGGCACAAUUUGUUUCCAAUCAGAAAAAUACGAUGCUUCAAUUUCAUCUUUGCUUUGCAUGAUUAUUACCAUCAAAAUUAAUUUCAAUCUUUCUUCCCAAUGUAAAAGCUCGUUGAUUCCAUUAUGCAUUAUCAAUUUUCACUCUGGUCCUACUACACAUAAACCCCCAAAUCCUUUUACAUAGCAAAAUCACAGCCACAUGAGUAAGCUUAUGCAAUCAUGGUCAAAAUUAGCAACGAAAAGAACACUGAGCGCUUACAAAUAGAUUCUGGUGAUAAGUGAAUUAUGAUGCUUUUAUGUUAUCUAUUUGAAAUUAUUUCUAAAGUUCGUCCACAAUUUUUUUUCCUGCAUUUAAAUUAGAUCAUGUGAACUCGUCAUAUUUUUGAAUAGUUUUUUUUGCCACAUCAUUUAAAUUAGAUCAUUAAAUGAGUUUUUUUAGAAUGAAUCAUUAAAUGAGUUAAAAACCCACAAUUUGUCAUAUCUCAUUAAUUGAUGUGGUCACAAAUUAUAAAUGUAAAAAUUUGUACCUGUUAUGAAAAUAAGUAAAUAGACAUGAUAAUAAUAGAGAGAAGGAGAAGAAGAGAGAAUAGGAGCAGUAUUCUUAUUCACUGAUGUGUAUCUCAAUGUUACAAAUGAGCUCUAUUUAUAGGGAAAUAGAGUAGCCUAUGAAUUAAGCCCAAUAACCUAAUAGUAUGGCCCACUAACACAUUUGCUAUUUGGACAUCCACUAUUAAUAUUUAUAACACUCCCCCUUGGAUGUCCAUUGAGGAUAUGCCUCAUUAAAACCUUACUAGAGAAAAACCUAAUGGAAGAAAAAUUCUAGUGAAGGAAAAAGAGUACAAUAUCCUUUUUGUGUAUGAUAAUCUGCCUCGUUAAAAACCUUACCAGGAAAACCCAAUGGGACAAAACCAUGGUUAAGGGAAAAAGAGUGCAGAACACAUUUAUGUCUCCCCCUCAUAAAGACAAUCAUCUAUGAGACGAAGAAAGUCAAAUAAUAUUUGUUCUAGUUACUCAAAAGUUUACUUGCAGCGACUUUGUUGAAAUAUCUGGUUUAUCUUCAUAGUCUUCUUCAAAUUAGUAGUGCUUGAGAAGUUUCUUCAUAUUGAGUUGUUGCAAGACCCCCUUUAAGAAAUCAACAAGUUUCUUGUACUUGUAAAAUCAUCAUCCUUAAUAAAAGAGCGUUCUUCACUUCCUUGAUUAUGUUGCUUCUUUAAGAUACAAAAUAUAUGCUUGACUUUGUUUUGAUAUCUGUAUUUACUAACAUUGGCAAAGCAAAAUACCACAAUAAAUAUCAUUAACAAAAUACAUUGAUGUCCUCGUUUGAACUAAGAUAUGGUACUUCAGGACCAAUUCAAGUUGUUUAUCAUUUUCUUGUGGACAUGAUCUAUACUAAUAUCAAGUGACAUCACAAUCAUUAUAGUACACAGUCAACUAGAUGUGUCCAUAUCAAACACAUUUGUUAUAUAAGUUUCUUGAUGCACAAAAUCUCAAUUAAAUAAUAAAUCUGCAAACCCAAACAAACUUUGUGCAUGCAGCAUAUUUAAUUUCAAAUAUUUCUAUAAUCAAUAGAUGUUAGAAUCUCUUCAGGAGUUCAAUAAUAUUUAUUCCAUCAUCAUUAAAAAUGAUUAUAACAAAUUCAUUUUCAAAGAUUUAGAAUGGACAUAUGAUGUCAUUUCUUCAAUAUCUCACGAAAAUUAAUUUUAUCGGAGAGUUUCAUAUACUCAUCACUAUCACGUGAGUCAUACAACUAUAUUGCAACACAUCUUUCAUAUAAAUUGAGCCUUUCAUGUAGUACUAAACUUAAUCAAGCAAGAAAAGGUUCUUGAAUUAACUUCAGGUAAAUAUGUCUCUUAAACAUAAACGUUAGACAUAUAUCAGCUCACUUCCGAUGAACAUAUCAAACUCUUUACAUAUGUAUUUUAUCAAUGUAAUUCUCUUUCGCGCGAAAAAUCUUAUAUAUCUAAUUAACUUCACAUCUUCAAGUGUGCGGACCACAAGUCCAAAAAGUUCGACUUUACAAAGCGAGUUUGAUUUCAUGUUUUAAUCCAUGAUCCUCGUUAACACUCAUCACAUAUAGCGCUAUGUUAUAAGCAAAAACACCGUCAACGUUGACUUUAAAUUUUGUUCCACCUCAUUCCAUUCAUGACAUAAUUUAUCGAGAUCUCUUUAUUUUUCAUACAUCUCAGGUACCUGGUUGGUUCUUCUGGAACUUAAAAUCAAAUAUGUCAGAUGACUCUUUUAGAGUUUACACAUCCUUAUUUGGGUUAUCUUUAAUUUUAGCUCCUUUUAUUGUUUGAGGAUUUUAUAUGUGGAAUUGAUUGGUCUACCACGCUUCAUGCGCAGUUGAGACUCAUUUGCAAUAAUCGAUAGGGACAUCUAUUUCGAUUGGAGCAUUAGCAGCUGCUUAUUUUAUUUGUUUAACUUUGCAAACGAGUUAUAUUUUGAGGAUCAAGAUGAGACAAUAAUAUUUUCUUUCAAAUAAUUCAUUUGAACUUCAGGUUCACAUUUUCAGCUGCUUAUUCUCUCCCCCUAAUAUUGGGAAAACUAAUCAGCCUACUAGGCUGUAAACAAGUAGGCUCAAUACAAUUUAUAAUAGAUGAAGAUUCAUAUCAAAUAGAUUUUCCCAAUAUUCUAUCAUAUUCAAUCUAAGUGCAUUAUAUUGGAGUAAUUGUGAUAGACACAACACAUCCAAAAAUUUACUUAGGUGAGAAAUAUUAAGCUCUUAACCAAAAUAUAAAUUAUAAAAUAAGGGGAGGACUUACAUAUGGUAACUUAUUGGCUUGAUGCGAAUCAAUAUUUCAACAUAUUGGUUAUUCCCAAAGUAGAGUUUUGAAGGUAUGGUCUCAUAAGUAUAAAUCAUACAAUUAACUUUAGACGUCUAAAGAAUGGAUCUUCAAGUCCAUUUUAUGAGCAUAUGCUACAAGUUGUUUAAUGUCAAUUUCAAUUGAUAAAUGAUACUUAUCAAUGUUUUUUUUGAAAAGUUCAGAAAAUAAGCUCUUUGUCAAAUUUGUUGACAAGAUAAUCGCACAAACUUCUGGUUUGUGGGUUAAUAAUAACCAUACAUGUCAUUUAGUUCAUCUAUACUUUCGAUGUAUUGAUUCACAAAUAUCAACUUAUAUGCAUUUACAUAUAUUGAGAGACCAAAAUCCUCAAAUUUUCUACUUUGAAAAAAAUAGUUAAGACAUAAAAAGUAUUUUAUUGAAGAAUCUUCUGGCUCUUCAAUACAAGUUAUUUAUUUUUCGCAUCAUAACGAAUCCGGGAUAACCCAACCGGUAUUGCCAACUACAAACUUAAUAUAAUUUGUAAACUUCUGGUUUACAAUAAUAUGUGAUUCCGUUGCACUAAUAUAAGUGUAGUACAAAUCAGAGGAAAAUAACUUUUCCACAACACUUAUUUUCUUCAGAGUAUAUUUCACCGAAUAACAAAUGAAAAAAUCAUGCUCUUCAGAAGCCUUCAUUAAUCAUGUAGUUCUUGAGGAACUAUAUCAUAAAUGAUCAAGAUAAAUCAUUAUUUGAGCAAUCUUUAAUACACUUAAAAUGAGCAUUCUAAACAUGAUUUGUAAACUUCUGGUUUACAAUAUUACGUGUUUGAUAUGUUCUUUCUUAUCUAUUUGAUACAAUAAUGACAAAAAAAAAUAUAUCCAAGUGAAACAAUAUAAUAAAUAUUCUAAAUUUAUCUUUUGCAUUACUAUACAUAGAAAUAUAGAUUACCACAAAAUUUCUCCAAUAAACAAGACUUUAUAAAUCAUACACAUUUCUCAGAUGAGUAAUAAGGCAACACAAACUGUCAAUAAGAUAUAUUUUCAAAGUUUGACAUAAGAAAAUAUGGAUAUCUCUCAUCUAAUAUUUACGAGAUAAAAAUCUCGUGGAAUAAGGAAGAAGAAAAUCUUAAUCAAAUAUAUUUUUGUUCAUAAAAUAAGAGAACAAUCUUGCAAAUUUAUGAAAGAAAACAAAGCAUAGAAGUUUAAAAUAUUACCUCAAACAAAAAUUCUUUGAUACUAAUUUUCAACUCAUCUAAGUUCAUACUAGUGGAACUUUAUGACCUUGACAUUUAUCAGAUUAAUAGUAAUCUCUGCUAAAGAAAUUACUAUAACCAUAACAUCUGUUAUAUAAAACAAAUAGCAUGAAUCAUUUACUUCUGGAAACAAAGUUCAAUUUAUAAUGUGGCCUUUUAACAUUUUAAUCAAUAACCAUUCUUUUCUCAAUUAUAAAUUUUAACUAAUAUUUCAAAAAUUCUUGAAGAUAUUUUCUCAAUUUUGCUACUUCAGGAGCAUAUUUGAGUGGUUCUUCAAUAUGAAGAUCAAAUGGCUUAAAUGUGUGGUUCUUCAAGAACGCACCAUCUAACCUUCAUGACUUUUGAGGUUAACAAAUAGAUCUUCUGAAUUAUGAUCAUGGUUUAAAUGUAUAGUUCUUUCAAAACUCAAACACAUAUAUAAUAUAUUCAUAGCUGUGGUGUAGUUCCUCAGGAACUUACAAUCAAAUCUAUACAUUAUUCUUAAAAAUAAUAAAUAAAAAUCAGAUUUAUUAUGGAGAAAUUAGCUGCCAAGGAUUAAGGAAACAAACAACCACUUUUAAGAUAUACAGUGACGUGCCAAAUUUAAUCCAUAAUAUUAGGGGAAUUAAUUUUCGGUUUUCAAAACAUAACAAAAAUGUCAAACACAUGCUUUCAAACUUUUUUUUUUUUUUUUUUUUUUUUUUUUUUUUUUUUUUACAGCCCAAAUGGAUGUUUGAUAUUAAAGUAUUAGUUCUUCAGGAACUAUGCCACAAAUCUUCAUGAACAAUGAUUGAGAUAAUUCAUUCCUUAAGUAGUCCUUUAGGUAUGCUUUUAAUAAUAUGUUUAUUUUAGUUCUUCAAGAAAUAUAUCACAAAUGUUUAUAACCAAUGAUCUUUUUUAAAAAAUUAUUCUUUAAGUAAUCCUUCAAGAAUGUGCUAAUAAUAAACAAUUGUAGUUCUUUGGGACUAAAUCAUAAAUGAUAUUAAUAAACAAUGAUAAAAAAUUGCUUCUUUAAGCAAUCUUUCAUAUACGCUUUGAUAUUAAAAAAAAAAAAUUAGUUCUUCAAAAAUAAUGUCACAAGAGAUCAAGAAUCAAUCAAUGAUAUUAGUAAUUACAAUAAUAAAAAUCAUAACUAUAAAAAUCAAGAACUAAUUAAUGUUAGUAUCUCAUAUUUAAAGACAAAUGAUAUUACCAAAUCAAAUGUGUUAAGAGCAUUAAAAAAAAUAUUGGCAAAUCGUAUCAAAAUUAAGGGGAUAGAAUGCCUAAACAUUAAAACUAACUUUUUCCCUUUAUUUUCUAAUAAGUUACAAACUAAUAAUACUAUCAAGUAGAAAUCAGUCGAUACACCUAGUAAAAUAAUUUCGUGGCUAAAUAACAGUUGUCUAUCCGGUCAACCAAAUAAUUCUAUGUUUGUUACUUAUACUAGAUUUUUAAGCCAAAAUCUUGGAUUGAAAACUAACAAUAAUCGAAACGCAACACCAGGUAUCAAAACACAAUAAACAAGGUAUUUUUUUGUUUAAUUUGAAAAAAAUGCAAUAAUGCAGACAACAAAAAAUCCACUAGUGCUUCAUGCAUAAAUCGUAAUUGAUCUCAAUUCAUUCAAUAUCAAUUAUAUAUGCAAUCCUGCGGGGAAGCAAUAAAAAUUGAGUUUUUAAGUUCUUCAUGAACUAUAAACAAUCAUAUCAAUUCUUUUGCCAAUAAUUCAAAGAUGCUUCACUAUUGGAUUGAAUUCUGCAAGAAUUCACUGAGUUCUACAGUAACUUUAUAAUACAUCUCAAUAUGAGAUGAAUCCUCAUGCCUUCUAAAAAAACCAAUCCUUGUGCAAUUAAUCCUUCAAUGAGUGGACGUUGAAUUCUGCAGGAAUUCAUAGCUGAAAAAAUAGUUUUUUUUUUAAAAAAUUCUUCAAGAACUAUAUACCAAAUUUGAUAAAACAUUUGUUCAAUCCUUCAGGGAUGCAUUUACUGUUGAAUUCAUCAGAAAUUCAAAAAAAAUUUGAUCCUUUAAGGAUGAUCUAGGUACUGAAUUCUUUAGGAAUUCAUUAAGAAGAUUUUAUAUGUGCAAUCCUUCAUGGAUGAAUUAGUAUUAGUGUUGAAUUCUUCAGGAAUUCGUUAAGAAAAUUUUGCAGGGCACAUAGAUACCAUGAAUAUCAUAAUCGAAUGCCAAGAGAAAAACAAAGAAACCAAUUUUAAUAAUUCUAUGCAAUCACGUUGAAUAGCAAAACAAACCACGAAUCAGUUAAAUAGAUUAUAUUAAUACCUUAGAGCGUGCUGAUAACGUGUUAUGAAAAUAAGUAAAUAGACAUGAUAAUAAUAGAGAGAAGGAGAAGAAGAGAGAAUAGGAGCAGUAUUCUUAUUCACUGAUGUGUAUCUCAAUGUUACAAAUGAGCUCUAUUUAUAGGGAAAUAGAGUAGCCUAUGAAUUAAGCCCAAUAACCUAAUAGUAUGGCCCACUAACACAUUUGCUAUUUGGACAUCCACUAUUAAUAUUUAUAACAGUACCGAUGAUAUAAAUUAAACUCUUUUUCUCCUUUUUUUUAAACAUUUUUUUAAACUCUUUUUUCCUUUAAAACAUAAAUUAAACUCUACUUUAAUUUUUUUUAAUUAUUAACAUGUUUAAGGGUUAAAUAUGUUUUUAGUCCAUACAAAAUUGAGAGUUUUCAACUUCAGUCCCUAUAAAUUUUUAUUGAAAAUUUUAGUCCUCAAUAAUAUUGUAGUUUUUUUUUUGGUAGUGACUAAGGUUUGAACCCUGGACCUUGCAUAUUUUAUGCAUUGUCCCAACCAACUGAGCUAAGCUCACGAGGACAUAAUAAUCUUGUAGUUUGUAAGAAUAAUCUCUAUUUUGAAAACUUUUAACAAAAAAUCUAUAUUUUUAGACUUUCAAAUAAGUCCUAUAAAAUAUAUAAAUAGGGAUUAAAAGUGAAUAAAUUUUUAUAGGGACUAAACUUGAAAGUUUUUAAUUUUGUAGGAACUAAAGACAUAUUUAACCCAAUGUUUAAUUCAUUUUUCUUUUACAUUUUUAAUAAAAUAUUUUUGAAUUUUAUCCUUCUUGUUCUCUCUUCUCUCUUAUAAAACAUUUGUUGACCUCCACAUUCUCCUCCCAAAUCUAAACCUUGUUUAUCAAGAUAUAGCCGUUGAAGUAGGGUGGUGCGCUCGCCGUCUUCAUGGAAGCACCACUCAAAACCCUGAUCGGGGUUGUUUCAUAGAGGUGGUUCCUUUAGUGUUGGCUUCUAUGUCAACGAUCUGGGCUAGAUCUAUAAAUCUGGUUUGAAGACCCUUAUGUUCUAUGGUUACUGUCUUCGUCGUCGGUUGGGUUAAAUCGUGGUAAAGGUUGUUUUGGUGUGAGAUUGGUCCCCUUUCAUGCUAGGUUUCUAAUGUAGGUUUCUAUGAUCAGAUCUUUAUAUUUUUUUGGUUCGAUGGGCUUUUCUUUUCGGUUCUUCACCAAGAUCUGUUCAUGAGUUCAUCUUUGUAUGGUGUUGAUCUUAUUUGUAGGUUCUUAAAUGUUUUCUCAAGCUUUGAUUUGGGUUGUUUUCGAUUUGAGGUUGGUUGCUGAUUGUUAGUUAGAAAUGGAUGUUAAAGCUCGUCGUUGGCCUCACUAGGUUGUUAGGUUAGUGGAUUCGUUACCGUGUUGGUGGUCGAGUUCAUUUACUGCUCUCAAAAUCUGGAUUCGUUGUUGAAUAUUUAGUGAAUGAGUAUAUAUAUUUUGAUUUCUUCAAAAAUAAGCACUUAUGAAUUUAAGUAGAAAAAUAUAUUGUUUUUUUUUAAGAAAUAUCAUCCUUCGUGUGUUUCGUGUCUGCCUUAUUUGUAACAUUCAGCAUUAUCCAUUAAGAAAAUAACAUGUUAUGAUCCUUUUGGGCUGACUUUUUCUCUUUUUUAAAAUUACCCUUAACUUUCACACAAAUAACACACACACACACACACACACACACACACAUGUAUCUAUACUAUAUAUAAAGAAAACUACCUUUUUCAGCACUUUUGGGCUGAAUUUUUCUUUCCAAAAAUACCAUUAAUUUUCAAUACAAAUAACACAUGUAACUAAUAGAUAAGAAUAGUGUAAAUAUCAAAACAAAUGUAACAAAUCGGAUAUGAAUAUAUAUAGAGGAUGUAUCUUAUGAGAAUGAUUAUAAACCAUUAGAUCUAAAAUAGAUGGUUAAGAUCUAAUGAUUUAUAAUCAUUCUCACAUAAGAUAAUCAUUCUCAUAAGAUACAUCCUAUAUAUAUCGGUCACAUGAGUGCAAUAAAAAACAUAUAAUCAAAAUCAAAAUUUCAUAAAAAAAACAUCGAUCAUAAUUUUCAAACGUUAGCGCAAUAAAAAGAGCGAAAAGAUGGGCACAUGAAUGUCUGUCUUUUCGCUAGUAUAAAUACAUAUAUAUAUAUAUAUAUAUAUAUAUAUAUAUAUAUAUAUAUAUAACAAGUAAAUAAGAAUAAAUUUAAAUAAUUUAAUAAAAAGUGUAACAAAUCUAACAAAAAACAGUGUAACAAACUAGAUGAGUAUAUCUAUACUUAAUUUUUUUUAUUAUCUCAAUUAUACCCUUAAAUAACUUUUUCUAUAAUAAAGAUAAAGAUUGUUGCUGGUGUUAUUAAAAAAAUUAGAAUUUAUAUUAUAUAGUUUUGUUAUUUUGUUAGUGUCGUUGAAAUAGAUACUUUUUUAAUUUUUUUUGACAAGUAGAAUACUCUGAUAUCCAUGAAAAAAUAUGAAUACCUUUGUUAUAUGACAAAAUAUCAAGAAAAAUAGUUAAAUACUUUAAGAAAUUGACUGUCCAUCGAGAAAAAAGAUUUGACUUCGUUCUAGAGAAAAACAUAAAUGACUUCUUUUAUGUUGACUAGUAACUAACUGAUCAGAUUUUGGUAAUGUAAGCAAAUAUUGAGUCCGAAAAAAAUAAAGAUAAUAACAAAUUUUGCACCGAUCUUUCUUUCAAAAAACAAACUUUUCACCGAUAUUAAAUCGCUUAUUUAUACUUGUUUGAAAAACCCUAAUCAUAUUUUCUGGCGCUCUCUUCAUAACAAAUCUUUUCUUCUCUUCCAAUAGCUUUAUCGCUUCCCCCAUGGAUCCUCAGGAACCCAAACGCGUUGAUCGAGAAAUCUGGCAGUGCUUGGCCGGACCAUCGUUCAAAAUUCCGAAACUAAAUUCUCAAGUUUUUUACUUUCCACUAGGUCACUUGGAACAUGCCUGCCCUUCCCCUAACACUGAAGCACUCUCCCUUAUCAAUAGUUACCGUCCCAUCAUUCCGUGCGUCGUCUCCGACGUUGAUCUCUUAGCUGAUCUUCAAACUGAUGAAGUCUUUGCAAAACUGAUCCUAACUCCCAUCACCAAUGACAGUGUUCACGAACCUCAGGAGCCUGAGGUUCGUGAAAAUGAACAUGGUGGUGAUAGGCUUGUUUUCUCUGGCAAGACUCUCACCCAGUCGGAUGCUAAUAAUGGCGGUGCAUUCUCCGUACCUUCUGAAUGCGCGAAAUUGAUAUUCCCGCCACUUGACCUAACAUCCCCAAUGCCGUCUCAGGUACUUCCGAUCAAGGACAUCCACAAUUUUGUUUGGAACUUUCGCCACACCUACCGUGGGUCUCCCAAGCGACACCUAAUCACCACUAAAUGGAGUAAGUUCGUUGACACAAAGAAAAUUAUUGGCGGCGAUUCCCUCGUUUUAAUGAAAAUUUCUAAAGAUAAAGAUAAGGAUAAGAUCUUCAUCGGAAUCCGCAGGCACAAGUUAAGUGCUGCUGCUAAGAUAACGGAAAAAUCCGUUAUGGAGGCAGCAGAAUUGGCGGAUAAGAAUAUGACUUUUGAAGUUAUUUAUUAUCCGACGGCUAGUCAUUGGUGUAAUUUUGUGGUGGAUGCUGAAGCCGUAAAGAAAGCAAUGCAGAUUAAUUGGCAAUCUGGAAUGAGAGUUAAACAUUGCUUGAAGACUGAUGAAUCUUCAAAGAGAAGCUCAAUUUUUCAAGGGACAGUAUCUGCUCUAUCUGAUCCUUCUCAUCAUCCAUGGCGUAUGCUUCAGGUAUAUAUGAUUUCUUCUUUUGGUGUAUAUUAUUUCAAAUGCAUAUAAUGUUAUGUCGUAUAUUUUUGUUCCAUAAAUGUUGUUACAGUUGAAGUUGAUAGAUAACUUUCCAUAAUUAGAUAAUGCAUGGUUCAUUCAAUCGGUAGCUUUGCAACUAGUAUAGGAUAAGUUCCAGUGUGAUAAUAUUAUUUGUAUAAUUAUGACUAAGGCGAAUUAUUGUUUAUCCUAACAAAGAAAGAGUGCUCAAUCAAUCAAUCAAUACCACUUGAGUUGGUAUAGCGGUAUUGGCUUGGGAUAUGAGAAUGUGCUCUUUCUCAGGGUUUUGAGUUGGUCUAGCGGUAUUGAAAAAAUUGACUAUUUCUAAUCUUAUAUUAUUUUUUCAAUUUUUUAAUUUUUUAAUUUCUUUUCUUUUAUAGAGACUAUUUCUCAUCCUUACCACUUUUCAUCUUAAUAUCAUAGGUUAACUGGGAUGAAUCUGAAGUCUCUCAGAAUCCAAGUCAAGUAAGUCCUUGGCAGAUUGAACUUAUUUCCCACACUCCAGCACUGCCUCUACAAUUCCCCCCACAAAAAAAGCUUAGAAUUGCUCAUGUCUCUGCCUUAUCAACUAACAUAGAGAGACCCUCCAUUCCAGAGAUAGAGUUCAAUUUCUUCAACCCAGCGUCAAUGAAUUGUGAUGCUUUUCUUAAUAGCAUGCAGGGAACCAGACCUAAUCUUUUUUCUGCCUCAACUUCUUCAACCUCUUUGAAUGAUAAUGACAAUGGUUUUGUUGAAGGUACCCACAACCUCAACACCAAAAAAGUUAAUCCUCGUUCUAUUAAGCUAUUUGGUAAGACCAUAGAGGUUGUUGAAAAGGAUUUGCAUGAGUCUCGUAUCAAUGGAGAGGAUGGUUCCGAUUAACUGUUUUUUGGUUUUUAGUUGGCUUUUGUUAUGUUGGUUUUCAUCAAAAGUAGUGAAGUUGUAAUGUUUCUUUGGUCUCAAACUAGUGCCACGGGUUUGUGUUAUAGAAUCAUUAACUUCAUUCACAAAUUUCCUAUUUAGGAAAUAGACCAAUUUAUCUCUUUUUCUUUUUAUUUUUUAUUUUAUUUUUUAUAACAUCUCUUUAUAAUUAUCAUUCAGUAAAGAAUAAGAUAUUGUAGUUGAAUUUAGUGCUUAAACUAUCUAAAUAUAAUAAGUAAUGAAUUUAUAAAAUCUUUAAAUUUAAUCUCUUCUAGAUGUUAUGGACUAAAUAGAGAAAUUUUAUAUAUUUUAUGGAUUAAAUUAACGCAUUUCAUAUGCUUUACACAACUUAUUAUGUUUAUAUAACUUAUGGACCGGAUCGAAAUGAUGUGAUAACUUAGGUACUAAAUUGAUAGAUUUUUCUUUAUUUAAACUCUUUCAAAUCUUGAUGGAUUUCCUAUAGUUAAAAUGACAGGGAGAAAAAAUUGAAUGUAGUUUGCAUUUAAUUUCUUUUUGAAAAAGAUGAUUUUUUGAAAAAACAUAAUUAAAUAUGAUAAAAUUUGGUAUUUUUUCCUAUAAUUUGGGACAAAGAAAAUGAGCUUUUUUUCUUAAAAUUUGGGACGGAGGGAGUAGUAAUUAAGGAAGGGAAAACUAAAAAGUGAACAAUCAUAAGACGUAUCUGAGAUGUGUCGGAGGCGUUUCAACGACGUAUCGGAAUUUUUAAUUUAUUUUUAAAUUAAUUUUUUUUUUAUACUCCUUCGAUACAUAUCGAUGACGUAUCAGUGCGUAUCAAGUACGAUUCGCUGGCCAUUUAGAUGUAUACGUGCUGCAUAGGUUUUAUUUUACAAAAAUAAACAAUAUCCAAUAAUUAAAUAUUCAUAGAGUACAUUGAUACAAUACAAAUUCAAAGUCGUAAAAAAUAAAAAGGAUGAAUUUGCGAACAAAUUCAAGUCUCCAGAAUAACCAUGUCUCCAUAUCUGCAUCGUUGACGACGCCAAAGUUAUUGAUUGGAUCUGUACUUGCUCAAAGCUAACCUUUCAACCGGAAUCAAAUAAACAUCGCAUAAAGACGGGAAAUCAACAAACACACUGCACAAAGACGGUAAAUCAAAACAAAUUAGAGUCGUGCAAAGACGACAAAAUCACAAAAACAAACGAAAGAAGACUGAAAAUAUAUUAAAAAAAUCACUUAUUUGACUAAAAAAGAAGAAAAAAUAAUUCGGAGAGGUGAUUUUGAGUCAAAAAUGACCGUAAAUCACCUAUUUUCUGUAGAUAAAAAGAAGAAAUGUGGUGACGGUUAGAGUUUGAAAAAGAGAGAAGAAAGAAGGUGCUUCAUAGGUGGUGUUAAGUAAACAUAAUAAUAACCGUGGAAUACUACAUUAAAUUGAAAGAGCAUAACCCCAAGAGUUAUAAGUUUUAGGAAAAAAAACUUAGUUACAAUAACUUAGGUGUUUUUUUGUAUGGUUUAUAACUAAAUUUACCAUGAUUUUAUCAAAUCCAUAAUUUUCUUAAAGUUUAUUAUAUCUAAAAAAAUGUGUAUUUUUAGGUAAGAACUAUACAAAAAGCAUCUAAUAAAUUGUAUCUAAGUUUUGUCCUAAGUUUUAACAAAUCCCGCAAAUGUUCAUUGCAUAUACGUUGACUAACUUAUUAACAGCUUUUUUGACAUAUGUACGCAUGUAAUUUUUGUUGUAGACAAAACUGUGGUAUUUUAUUUUCAAUUAUUAUAUUUUUUUUAAUCAUAUUAUUUAUGUGAUUCAUAUUAGCGCAGCUUAUGGUUUCUUAUUGUGCAAGCAAAACUAAGAAAUUAGGGUUAGGGUUUCUAAUGGAGAAGAUGAAGUUGGUUAUGGUGGUUAGAGAUUGUUAUAGAUUGAUGAGAGAGAGAGAGAGAGAGAUGUUAUAUUGGAAAGUUGUUAUUCUCAUGUAGAUUGUGAAAUUGAGUUACAAGCAAGUAUUUGUACACAAUGACUUAGAGAGCAACUCUCUUGUAACUUCCUAACAAACUUAUCCAAACAAAACAAACUAAACUCUUAAGCAUUUGUUAAUCAUGAUUAUGGAUUAAAACAUACAAACUAAUAAUUCACUUGCUUAGAAGAUGAUUAAUAUACCAAAAUAGAAAUGACAAUGAAUAGGGUCUGAGAAGGGUGUCAUGGUACCCACAGUUCAAGAAAAUACACGUAACCGUGUGAAUAGCAACUCCAAUACCUUUACUCGUACUUUUAGGGUAUCUAAGCACUUAUACCUAUAUCCAUUACUCACAUUUUAAACAUAGGAAUAAAAUUCCUCAGCAAUCCUUUAUCUUAUAUAUGAUAACAAUUUAGUCAUUUAUCUUGCGCCUCAUUUAUGUCAUUUAUCUUUUACAACGCACACAAGAUUUUCCUUAUUCAACUUUUUGUGCUAAGGACCCUGAAGUGUCUUUUUGUGUAUUGUGUUUCAAUGUGGAGGAGGACGUAAAUCAUCGUUUUCUGUCUUGCUCAUUUUCUUAUAUGGCCUGGUGUGAAAUUUAUAAAUUGUUGGGUUUUGCAAUGGAGUCUUACAAUGUCAUCACCACUUCUUACACUUUAACUCUCUACUUAUUACAAAAAUUUCAAAGAAGGUGAUUUAUAUUAUUUGCCAUGUUGUUAUUUGGUGCUUAUGGAAAAUAAUCUUCAAAGGUGAAGUAGCCAACUUAAUCAAAACUAUGUCUGGGGAUGGUUCAUAAAUAGAAUGGAAGAGGGACUCAGGACUAAAUUAUUCUGAUUGAUGGGGUAACCCUUUAUGUUUCUUACCAUUAAUUUAAAAUGUGAUAUCUUUUAUGAGUUAAGAGUACCCCUUAUAAGAGUUGUGUGCAUUUCAUGUUAUAUAAAUUGUGAGUCAGUAUCGUGUUUACACGGUUGAUUUUGAUUUAAUCUCUGCUAGUUACUAUGUGUGUGAUUCAUGGAUAUGAUCAAAGCAUUUGUUUCUUAUUUUUGAAAGAUAACCACUUGGCCGAGAGAAGCUUACUUGCGGGAAAUUAAAGUGAACUUUGUUUAACCCCUUUGAGCGUAAAAUGUAAAAAAAAUCCUUUUGAAAAUUGAACCUUGAAUCCAAAAGGAAAAACAAUG
rnacentral:lncRNA from 1 species